rnacentral:lncRNA from 1 species
UUUGGUUUAUUAUUGUUUAAUUAGAAGUACGUAUGAAUUGUUACGAUCUUUAUCGAAUCACGUUUGCUAUCCUUAUCUUCCUCGCGAUAAACCAAGUGACAAGGCAUCUUAAUCUAUUGAACAUGGCCAGAAUUGGAAAUUAUUAGUCAGUAACCUUUUGAUGAUUAACUCUUUCAGGAUUAACUUUCCAAUUUACAGUAUUUACUUCGUGUGUAUCAUUUUUUAAGUGAUGUUUUAGGAUUUUUCUUCUUCUUUUUUUUUUUUUUUUUUUUUUUUUUUUCUUUUUAUUUUAUUUUAUUUUUCUAACUUUUUAUACUGUUAUGUUUUUAAUCUGUUGUUAAUUUCUUCGUUUUUUUGUUUUUUUUGUUUUUUUUUUGUUUUUUUGUUUUGUUUUUAAUACCGAAGCUGUUUUACUUAAUAAUAUUCUCAUGUAAAAAAGGUAGAUUAACUAAACUUAACUAAAAGUGAUAUGUUUUUUUAAAAAAAUUAUAGAUAAAAAAUCUUUAACAUCAUUAAAAAUGAUAUAUAGAGAAUAUUUUAUAGCACUAGAUAGUUAAUUUAAUUGACAAAGAAUUUGAGUGUUUAAUAAUAAAAACUGUAUAAAAUGACUUUUUUGGUUGGUAAAAAAGAAAAGAGAGUUGGCUAAUGCCAAUGCAGCACACACACAAGUUAAUAAAUACUUUAAAAAACACAAGCUAAUCUAAUGAAGGUGUGUCUAGAUACAGAUUACAGAAAGGGGGAGAAAUGGAAACAUGUGUUGAGUGACUUCAGAAUAUUCAAACUCGUGAUAUUUAGAUAAGCAUUGCAUUCCUCCAUCCUCAUUUCUACUCUUUUUUUUCUUACUUUCCCACUACUAGUUUGAAUUUUUUAAAAUAUCUUUUUAUAAGAUAAGAUUAUGAGAUCAUUUUUAAAUGAUUUAAGCAUGUGUAUUGGCGACAGAUCCAUUAGAAACAUUCAAAUUAAUUAUAUUUUUUAUAUAUAAUCUAUAAGAGUAACAAUACUAAUAAUAAAAUUGAAAAUACUAUUAAUAGGUUAUAUUCUUUUAAAAUUAAACAUAAAAUUACAUAGCACAGACUCAUAAGAAAUAAAUUUUAAAUGCAACAACUCGUAAAUAACAUACUAAACCAUGAUGAAAGAUAAUAUUAGUUUGAUAUUAUUGUAAUUUAAUUAAUAUUAAUAUAUAAUUUAAAUUCAUGAUAAUGGAAUUUGUUAGAUCUAUCAUUUUAUUUAGGAUCCAUAAAAAGUAAAAUAAAAUAAUAACAUAUGAUCUAUUAAAAUAUGAUAAAAUAUGAAAAAUUUAAUAAAACACGUGUCGAAUAUAAGAUGAUCUAAUAAUAUCCGAGAUAUUUUAUACUAUACUAAUACAUAUAUAUUUUUCUUUAUAAUACAUCAGUAUACUUUCUCUAAUAUUCUAUCAUAAUAAUAUUUUAACUAUUUAUAUCAAGGGGAAUUCUCUUCAAUACCAUGAAAAUACGUAUGUUUUCCAAAAAUACUAUUACAAGUUUUAUUAUCCAAAAACACUAGCUAUUAAAAUAUACAUAUUUUUUCCAAAAGUAUUACAAAACUAAAACUAAUAGUCAAAUUUUCAGUAUGUUAUGUUUAUUUUUACUAGGAGAAAUUGUAACGGUGCUUUCCACUUUUUAGCACAAUAUAGUUGUAAUUUUUUUUUGUCUUUUUACUCUGACUGUUUUAAUACCCCAAUUUUGUUAUCACAACAAUUGUAACAUGAUUACAUUAAUUCAUCUAUAUACUUAUAUUUUGACUGGAAAAAAACUAAAACUAAUAUUUUUAACAUUCAAAACUAAUUUCUAAAUCCUAAACACUAAAUCCAACUUUUAAAACUAUACCCUAAAUAUAGUUAGUCAACCCAAACAUAAAAAAACCCUAAUUAAAGUCUCUUAAACCUAAUCAAAUUAAUUUUUUCAAAGUCUCUUAAAGGAGAACUCAUUUUCACCCUCUUUUGGAAAAACCUAAUUUCAUACUUUUUAAGUUAUUUAUAUUUGUGAAAGAUUCAAUGAAAGAUUUUCAUCGUACAUAUAUGUUUUUACUAUUUCUGAUGUCAUUUAUUAAAUAAUGAACCUCACACCUCAUGCUCGUUGUCGUUGCGAUAGCUCUAGCCUCUAGUGAAAAAAUAUACGUCGUGUUGAAGAAAAUGAUAGUUGAAUGCAUAAGUAAGAUAAUACACAGUUGGGUUGCAUCGUCCAACCACAUGUGCGAAGUGAUUUUUGACGAAUGCGUUAAGAUUUACCCGUCAAUAAAAGCAUCCACUGAUGAUGAUUGAUGAUAUCUUUGUUUGUGAAAGAGAGCUACAUAUAGUGGAUUUUUGUUCCUUUUUAAAUGAGCCAAGAAAAUGUACAUACGGUAAUCGAUUAUUUAUGUGUUACAAUUUCCAAAUGUAUAGCUUGUUGUUAUCGUCUUCAACUUCGUUAUGAGCAUUGUAGAUAGUCCAAUAUGCUAAAUUUUAAUUUUGUAAACAUGUAUUAUAUAACAGAGAUUAUUUAGUCAUAAGGGUAAGUUUAUGCAAAUUAUUUUUUGCAAGUGGAUUCAUUUAAUUUUCUUGAUAGAACAUCAUUUGAAAGAUUUUUCUAAAGUUAUACAGUAAGGAAAUAUUUAUGUAUAUUAAUACAGGAUUCAUUGAUUAAUAUUUAUGAUCUUUCAGAAAUAAAAACUUAUGAUUAAUUACUUAUUAACUUCAAGUAAGGUUUAAGUGUAUAAUAAUAUCGUUGUAAAGAGUUAAAGAGUAGGAGUUAUUAAAAAAAAAAAAUUUAGAGAGAGCAGAGGCGCAUACACACACUUACAUUUUUCAUUUAAAAGAAAAAUAUCACACACACUCUCUACAAAUCUCAAAUCACAAAUCCCAUCUUCACCUUUGAGUGCGAGAUCUGAUCGUAUCGGCGAAGAAACAAUCAAUGGAGAUCUUCUACUUCGUGGUGUUCGGUGGCCUCGCUGCGAUCGUCGCCGGCUUGGAGCUCAGCAAAUCCAACAAAGACCGCAUUAACACCUCCUCCGCCUUCAACUCCUUCAAGAACAACUAUCUCCUCGUCUACUCUCUCAUGAUGGGUGAGUCUCUGAGUACAUCUCUCUCGAUGAUCUCUCGAUCCAUUGUCCUGCGCGAUCGAUUUUGUUAUUUUGUCUAGCUUAGUGUCGGUGGAACUAGAUCGAUUUGACCUGAAUGAAUGAAUGUUGCUCCCAUCGAUGAUGAUUGUCUGUGGAAUUAGAUCCUUAAUCCAACAACUAUUUUGCUCUCCCUUUAGCUGGGGAUUGGUUGCAGGGUCCCUAUGUGUACUAUCUCUACAGCACUUACGGCUUCGGCAAGGGGGAGAUCGGUCAGCUCUUUAUCGCUGGUUUUGGAUCUUCCAUGUUGUUUGGCACCAUUGUUGGAUCUCUUGCCGACAAACAGUAAGCCAUCUUUUCCAUUUUCUUCUAGAUAUUGCUCUCUCAUGUUCCAUCUUUAAUGCCUGUUUCUUUUCUCUGUUACAUUCUCUAGGGGUCGCAAGAGAGCUUCUAUUACCUACUGCAUUACCUACAUUCUCAGUUGUAUCACCAAACAUUCUCCCCAGUACAAAGUUUUGAUGGUCGGCCGUGUUCUUGGUGGUAUUGCUACUUCCCUCCUCUUUUCUGCCUUUGAAUCCUGGCUGGUUGCUGAGCACAACAAGAGAGGUUUCGAGCAGCAGUGGCUAUCUGUCACUUUCUCAAAGGCUAUUUUCCUUGGUAAUGGAUUAGUCGCCAUCAUUGCUGGACUCUUCGGCAAUUUCCUUGUGGAUUCUCUUGCCCUCGGUCCUGUUGCUCCUUUCGAUGCUGCUGCUUGCUUCCUUGCUAUUGGUAUGGCUGUUAUUAUUUCAUCAUGGUCCGAAAACUAUGGAGAUCCAUCAGAAAACAAAGAUCUUCUUACCCAGUUCAAGAACGCCGCAUCUGCAAUUGCUUCUGGUGCCAUCUCUUAUCUUGCCUGCUUUUUGACUUAAUAUGGGUUUGCUUCUAGCUUUAUUCCGCUAACCACUUCAAUUAUUGAAUCAGAUGAAAAGAUCGCAUUGCUUGGUGCCAUACAGUCUCUGUUUGAAGGGUCCAUGUACACCUUUGUGUUUCUCUGGACUCCUGCUUUGAGCCCUAAUGAAGAGGACAUUCCACAUGGUUUCAUAUUUGCAACAUUCAUGCUGGCUUCCAUGCUUGGUAGCUCCAUUGCCUCUCGUUUGUUGGCACAUUCGUCUCCAAAAGUAGAGAGCUAUAUGCAGAUCGUAUUUGUGAUAUCUUCUGCAGCUCUAAUGCUUCCUGUUGUAACAAGCGUACGCUCUCUGUCUUGAUAUCUCUCUCUAUUUACUUUCCAUAUUCAAGGAGUAUUACCAAUAUAAUAACUUCUCAAAUCGCAAAUUGGAGCAGUUCUUGGUGGCGCCCUCCGGUGUAAAAGGUGGAAGCAUAUCCUUCUCUGGAUGCAUUCAGUUAAUGGGUUUCUGCACAUUUGAAGCGUGUGUAGGGAUCUUCUGGCCAUCUAUAAUGAAGAUGAGAUCGCAAUACAUUCCAGAGGAAGCCAGAAGCACCAUCAUGAAUUUUUUCCGCAUCCCACUCAACAUCUUUGUCUGCCUUGUAUUGUACAAUGUGAGUUUUCCAUAUCUUUUAAUUACGACAUCUUCGGGACAGUGGUUUUAUUAUCACUCCUAAUAAGGAACAUUGUGUUCCGAACACAAUUUUUACACACCUCUAGCUUUGGGUAAAUAUUUGGCUUGGCCUACUGAGCGUAUCUAGGUUUCAUUUCGUUCAUAAUUAUUUAGAACAAGUUACCUUGGCUUUGCUCUUAGAUCCUUAGUGUGCAAUCUAAAACUUAUUCAUUCAUUAUCCAUCAUAUCGGGUCUUCCUUAUCUAAGGAGUAUUAUCCAAGGCUAUCCCUUAGAUACUUAGUGUAUAAUUUACAAGUUAUUUAUUCAAUAUCUCUCAUCUGGAUUGUUUGUUUGGAUGUAAACAAAAGAUGUAUUGCCAUGGACCUAACGAGCUUUUCUGAUCUUUGUGUGCUAAAGGUCGACGCGUUUCCAAUGACUGUUAUGUUUGGAAUGUGCUCUGUAUUCCUUUUUGUGGCCUCUAUAUUGCAGAGGAGGUUGAUGAAUGUAGCCGAGAUCCACAGAUCAAGUAAGUCGUCCGACAUGAAACUCUUUGAUUCUAUGACACAAGCUUAAUUGGGUCGUAGAACGGAAUCAGUGGAUUGGGAUUAUCCUAUUCAUGAGAAAUAUAUAGCAAAAGCUAUGCUAUUCAAGCAUGAAUUUCCAACUGAUGAACAUUGCAUAUGAUAUUUUGCAUGCUUGUAGAUUCAUUUAUAACGCUUGCCAUCAAACAUUGGAACCGUUUUAUGUUCAUAUCAAACAGUGCCUUUGAUUUGAUGAUUCUUGAGGACCGGUGAUCCUAGUGUAUCUCUUAUUACCAUUGCAGGAUCACAAGAGUGGUCGGCAGCAAAGGAGAUGACCUCAGAAGCUGAUCCUCUAAACCCAUAAUAACCAAAAUAUAAAAAUCUCCGUUGACAUAAAAAAAGAGGAAACGCCGUUUGGUUUCUCUUUUGAUGAUUUUUCAACUUCUCUUAAUUACGCACCUUAAGUUAUAAAGUCUUUCCACUGGUUUAGUUAUAUUUGGAUUUUGUGCAUUCACCAGAUGUAGCAAACACUCUAAGACCUGUGUACGUCGGCAUAUUUGGGCUUUGGCCAUUAUUCUUCAUGAAUCUUUCAAUUAUUUAUUUUGUGCCUUGGAUAUUGGGUGGCCCUAAACCAUAGAAAUGCAGAAAUGGUGUGUGUGCCUAGUCUCUGCAUAAGUGAGGAAACUAGAAAUGCUUGCGAGGGGUCAGUCAUAAACGAAUAAAUUAUAAUACACUCAAAGACAUGAAUGGAAAACUAUGGAACCACAAGCGAUUUGAAGACUGGUGUGGUGGCCAUGUGAAACAAUACACAAGCAGACAUUUUAUUAUUGCCAAUGCAUUGUCGAUUAGAGAGAGAGACCCUUUCUGUAUUGAUACGAUGCGACAUUGCCCACUUCGGGCCAUGUGCCCAAUUCUCAGGGGUACAAUCGUCACUUCUUUUGAAUCCUUUGCUUUACCAAUUAAUUUAUUUAAGCUUUUCAGGAGAUCUGAGAAGCGAAGAAAGCAAGUACACCCAAUCAAGAGAGAGAGAGAGAGAUGGGAGUCAUGGGUUUGAGCAGCAUGAUAAUGGUGGUGGCGAUAGUGUUAUUAGGACAGGAGAUUGGUAAAGUGUCGUCGACUCUAUACAAAGUUGGGGACUUGGACGCAUGGGGUAUCCCAGUUGAUGCUAAAGUCUACUCCAAAUGGCCCAAAUCUCACUCUUUCAAGAUCGGUGACUCCCUCUGUAAGUCAUUCUUCUACUCUCUUCUUCAAAAUUUCAACUCUUUAUAGUUUUGAAUCUCUCAAAUCUAAUCACAUCACUGUGUUGCUGAAACCAAACAACAGUGUUCUUGUACCCACCAAGCGAAGACUCACUGAUUCAAGUGACAGCCUCCAAUUUCAAGAGCUGCAACACCAAAGACCCGAUCUUGUACAUGAACGACGGCAACUCUCUCUUCAACCUCACCCAAAACGGAACUUUAUACUUCACAAGUGCACAUCCCGGCCACUGUUCCAAGUACCAGAAGCUCCUCGUCUCCGUCGGAACCUACUCCGCCGAAGCAGAGGCCUUGUCUCCGUCGUCUUCUGCCGACGCUCCCUCUUACCAAAACGCCUUCGGGUCGAUUCCUCUCUCUCAGAAAUCGUCGUCGUCAUCGCUCAUUUCGGCUUUCUCCAUUGUCUUUGCUUCGCUGGCUUGCGCUGUCGUCGGUGCAAUCAUGUGAAAUUGAUUUUUUUUUUGUUUGAAUUAUUAUUAUUUUUUUUGGUCUAAAGAGAGAAAAAAAUGAUUGGUUCUUUUUCUUAUUAAUUAUUAUAUAUACACACACACCUUCUGCCUCCUUUUAAACCUUUAUACAAUCUCGGCAAUUUAAAUUUGUUGUAUUUCUUCUAUCCAAAUCUUAUAUACAGACAUAAUCAGCUUAUUAUAGCAUGUUAUUAACAUCAGUAACAUUUCUCAUUCGUUCAAUAUGUGGUUUCUGUUGCAAUAUGCACAAUUACAAAACCAAAGCGGCGAGAAAUGGAAGACCCUUUUCAAGAAGAAUUUAAUAAAGCAGUGAAACAAAACCAAAAAAGAUAAAAGAGUAUGGCAGCAAAUCCCAAAAAGAGAGAGAGAGAGAAGAGGGGUUAGUAAGAAGACAUACAGGCUGAGACUGCCAGAGGUGAAAAGCUCAGUGAUCAUGUUGAUGGCUUUGUUAGUAUCAUCAACCCAGGAGUAGAAGAGUUUGAUGAUGUUAUCAUGAUUAAGAGAUUUGAGGAGAUGGACUUCAGAGUAAAGUCUAUCAAGUUGGCCAGGCAUCUGCAAUACAUUGUCGAUGCUCAUUAGGUUCCAAGCAACUUCGAUCCCUUCAAAUGCCUUGUAGCUGGGAGAGCCGGAGAGGUAACAACAACCACAAGAGAUGAGAAAACAUUAAGAUGAAAAAAAAGCAAAUUAGAGUUCAAUUAUAAAGCACAGGACGUAUAAACAUACACAAUUUUUGAAGGCUCCUCUCCCUAGAACGUCAUCAGACUGAAGGAAGCAGAAGAAGAAAAGAAAGAAUGAUCACUAGUUUGUUCCCAGCGAAUUUAACUCUUACAUAGGAAACAUGAUCCUAAACUAACUAAGACUCUAUAACAAUCAUAUCAAGAGGAAGAGCGCAUUAUCGACAACAAACCCCUAAUUUUACAGUAAAUUUCAUCCGUAGAGAGAGGAAGAAGGAGAAGCGUACCCCAAUGUAGCGACCAGUGGGAUCUUUCUGGACGAAGUCAGCCUCGUCCAUGGCAGAUAUCUAAUCUAAUAGUCCGGAGGAAGAGGAAGAAGUAGAAGAAGAAGAAGAGAAGGAGGAAUGGUUACAGAAGAAGGGUGAGGACGAAGAUUGGAUCGGAGAAGGCCUCACAGGCGAAGCAGAAGGAGUCGAUUGCCGAAGACCGGAAACGAAGAGUGGCGGCGAAGGGAAUCCCCAUGUCCGAGACGAUGAAGAUGAGGUACGGCGGUGGUGCUGCGGCUGCUUGUCUCUUGUUCUUGUAAAUGGAUAGAAGAAGAAGAAGAGCAUCACCUCCAUUGAUCCACCACCAUUGUUUGAUUAGGGGCUCCUCAAGCAGAGAUAACUACAGUCUACAGAUGAUGAGAGGGAAGCUUCGAUUUCGCCCACCACAAUUCUUCAAUUUGUUGGGAAACCAAAAAUAAAAUGAAAAAAAAAAAAACCCAAAAAAUUGCGACUCUCUCCUUGUCUCCCCCCUAUCUCUUACGAGGAUAACGGCGAAUCUCUAUUUUCUGAUUCUGUCAGUUAUUAACAGUUAUUCGCAUCAAAACGACGUUGUACUUCAUCUUGUAAAAUGGGCCUCCUUUCUCUUUACAUGGAUGGACUCUCAAUGUUUAAAGGCCCAAUUUUCCUUUGAUGAGUAAAUGAAUGUUUCUAAAUUCUGUCUACAAAUGGAACAACAUCUUUACUACUACUAUCAACAGAAUGUGUUUUGUAUCUAAAGGCAACCAAACCAACCAGGUACUAUAACAACAAAUCAUCAUGUUUGGUAUGAUGGUGUUGAAAAAGCUGAACUAGUGAGUAGAAGACUUGAAGCCUCGUCACUUGUGGGUUUGCCUGUACGAUCAAGUGUGCCCAUAUUUGGCCUUUUCUUGUUUCCAUCACUCCUUUCAAUAUCUUCAAUCCCAAUCCUCUCACCACUUCUCCUAUCUCCAGAAACUCCCCUCUUUCCUCGCAUACCAUCUCUAUCUGCAUUUCCCCUUGCCUGUUCAGUUCCUCCACUAUUAUCGGACAUACCACUGCUUCCUCAUCAUCAUCUCCCACUUCCAACGCCCAUGUUCUCUCCUUCACCAGCUGAUACAUACCAUAUAUAUCAUUCUGAUCAGUAAACAAUUUAAGACUUGUUCACUAGCUUUAUUCAUGAAUGACUCAUCCAUUUGAUUUCUCCUUACCUUGGACUCGUAUGGCUGCUUGAGUCUGUCUGCGUACUUGGCGAGACUUUGCAUGAACUCCAUGUGCUUUAUGGUCAGAUCAAGCAACGUAUCUAUGCUACACUGUUUCAUAUGUGUAUUAGAAAAUGCAUUUGCUGCAUGCUAGUCUCCAAACUAUAUUAUCAUUAUUAUUAUUAUUUUGAUUUUACCUUUGCUCCAUUUGGAAUCAUCCCUCGCAGCUCCUUGAUACGGUCUUGUAUCAUCUGACGGUCCUUAGGCCUCGGCCUCCUGCUUUCUCCUGCCUUUGCUCUUUUCUUCUUCACACCUUCUUCGUGAGGCUUUUUCCAAUUCCCUCCGACGCUUGUUCUCUCAUCAUCAAUCCACAAACUCCGGCCUGUUACUACAGUCUCCUCCUGCGGGAACAAGCUUGAGCUGUGCGCUGACGAUGUUUCAAGCUUCCGUCUUUUGCUCUGAUUCACACCAGAAUACUCUUGCACGUUUGUGAGAGAACUGGUACAAGUGUUGUUGCUAAGACUGCUGCUUAUGAGCUCAGAGAAGAGCCCUUUAGGCGGCACAGCCAAAGGCCUAGAAAAAUCUUGAGAAUUCAUGCCAACAAUGUCGAAAAGAUCCUUGUCAUUGCCUUGGAUCACCAUGGGAUUCUCGUGGUGAUCAACGGAAGAGCAAUUCUGUUCAGGUGAGUCAGCGAGCAGCUCGUAAAGAUCGUCCAGAGUGUAAGACUUGAGAAUGUCGAAACCAAAAUCAUCCCCACUGCUAAGAUCUUGGUGGGAAGAAGCUGCUUCAGAGGUUUUACCAGAGAUCAUCUCAUUCUCAGGGCUGAGCAAAGAAGGAGGGUCGUCGUCGGCGAAGAUGUCAUCAAAGCUGAGUCCUUGAAAAGAUUCAGCUGGGACAAGCUCACAAUCUCCCAGUGGCACUAAAGACUCGAACAGAGUAUCGAGGUCCACCGAGUGAUCUGGCUUCUCUUGCAUAGCUCUGGUUGUUUGUUCCAACAUCUCUAGGCUCUCAAGAAUCUACGUACAUAAUUCAAAGAUCCACUACUAAUUAGUCCAUGACUUCCACAGCAAGAAAUUAUAAUAAUAUCAACAAAUAAAGAAACAUUUUCUAAGCAAACCUUUUGAACAGAUCCGAACUGAACAACGCCUCUAGAUCCUACUGGAAUGACUGCGAUAGUCUGUACGAAAAAAUGGACAUAAGAAUCUGAUUCGAAUUUUUUUAAGAAACUGGGGACAAGACAAUGUAAUCACCUUAAAGCCAGAGAGAAACUGAUUCUGAAACUCAUGCUCACACUGCAAAACAAUCAAAUUAAGACACAAAUGAUCAAAGCCUUAUUCUUCUUUCUUAUUAAUGAGAUAUUUGGACAUACAUACAGGCUACAGCUUAGCUCACAUGAAAGCAUAUGAGAAAAAUCAAACAUGCAAAGGAAAGGAAAAGAAGGGAAGAAGGAGAGCAUACCUGAAACAAUGUGUCUGAAAAGAGCCAUUGAUGGUUUCCGGUUAAAGCGACUUCUCCCACAAUUCUGAAGUCAUCAAAAGAAAAAGAAAAGGUAUAAUGAAGAUACAUACAUACACAAUAGAGAGAUGGAUAAAUAGUAUUUGAUUCAAGUGUUGAAAAAAGCUUACCCUUGGCCUAAGAUGUGAGGCUGAAGAAUCAAAUCAUCAAGGAGGGAGACUGAUUGUACAUCAUCAUUGUAUGCUUCUUCAAAUCUCAAUAACCUGAAAUGCAAUGCAAUGCAAUCCAAAUGAACAAACAGCGUAAGCAUAAAAGAAAGAGGCAGAACAGAAAUGGAGGAAUCACAUGGAAUUGAUGGGAUCAUAGCGCCAGAAAACAGCAAAAGACCAUCCAUGGCUGAAACAGAGACUCUUCAAUAUCUGCUUAGUCUCCCAACCCAUAAUUUAAUCUAGUUGAGAAUCUCAAGUAAACUCGAGAAGACCCUGACCUCGAACUCUUAAAUAAGACAACAACUACUUUAAAUUUGUCUUCUCCAGAAAAACAAACUCCAAAGAUAAAGAAAAGCUGGGAAACAGAGGAAUAAUGUUUGGUUCAGAGUUUUCUUCUUGUUUAUUUAUUUAUUUAAUAAUAUCUGCACAGAACAGAGAAAGAAAAAUAAAAUUAAAAAACAAAGAGACACAGAGGAGAGAAUUGCUGCUUGUGUUUUGCUUUUUGUUCAAGCAAUUAAAAAGAAGAAGAGUCUUUGUCUCUCUUUCUCUCUAUAGUCUCUAUAUAUAUAUACACAUGCAAAAACAUAAAACUAUUGGACCCUUUUUAGAUCAACAAAAUGUUUCUUAUAAAAUAUUGUGUGAUUUUACAUUUUGAUGUGCAAUAAUAUUUGGUAGAAAUUGUUUUAUCAGCCGGUUUCCAGUCACGCUUUUGCCCCGGAAGUGACGUGGAUUACACCGGCGAUUACCGGUUUAAUAGAACUUUUUUUUGUUUUUAAUUAAUUGCUAUAUAUCCUUUUCAUUUAUUUUGUUUGUUGUCUUUAUGAAUUUUUCUAUAUUAAAUACUGUAUCUUUUUGAGGUAUAAUAUAAUUUUCCGAAUAAAAAGGGAGAUUUCCUUUUGAUUCUACUUUAUUACACUAUGGAUUUCAUUUUAAUUACUACUCGAUACGAAUCAUAUACACCUUUUAAUUUCGACGAUUUAUUUUUAGAAUGAUUAACAAACAAAUGAAACUAUAAUAUUUGUUUUUAAAAAAAGAAAAGUAAUUGUAAAACAAAAUAAAAAAAUGAGGAGAGUAAGAAUGCGAAGAUCUUCGAAUUCAUUCUUGGUAUGAUAAUCUUGACUUAACCAGUACUUGUAUGGCUAUUAAUCAUCCAAACCUUAUAACUACUCUAUCAGAAAGAAAUUCACAAAAAUUCAUAUAUAUAUGUGGUACCAACAUAAAUACGGUUAAUUAACUCUUAAGUACUAGUAUUAUUUCCUCAAUAUAUAGCACCAUAUCGUCAGGAAGACACAAACUAAAACAUUUUUAAGUUUAUAUAUAGAAAGAUUAAACUUCGAACUUUUUGAAAUAUAUUGCUACAUGUGGCAAGACAAUAUAAAUAGAAUCUAAAGAAGAUCAAAAGACAUAUAUAGCAAACGUUGGAAACACAUGCCUCAAAUAUUUUGACAUCCAUUUUUGGUACUCGCAACAUUCCACACAUGCCUAAAUGCCACUCAUGCAUGCAUACAAAAUUCUCCUCAUCUUUUUUACUAACCAAAAGUUUCUCGACCUAAGCUGCUAAGUACGUACAACACUUAAGUUUUUACACAUUUUAGCUUGUAUAUAUACAUAUAUUGAUCAUAGUGGUCGAAACAUAUUAACAUAUAUGAUAUAUCCACAUAUCUCAAAAAUGGAAAGUGAUUAUAAUUCGAAAUUAAAAGAAGAAAAAUGAAAGUCAUCAAAUGUUAGAUUUUGGGGUUAUUAGGGAUAAUAUGUAGCAAUAAUUUGGUCGCACAUACUCAUCACACGCUCAAUCAUGGCCGUUGUUGAGAACAAAAGUCAACGGCAUCAAGAUUUUUCACUUAAUUUUUUGUUCGUCUUUACUUGAUUUAUUUAUUUUCCUUUUUCAAAACUUUCCGUUUUUAUUCCAACGGUGUCCCAAAGUGGUGAACUAAAUCCAAAAGUGGGAUUUUUUUUGUUCUUUUGUUACAUAAACUAAUUCAAAAAAUAUAUAUACUUUUCUUCAACAUAUGUAUAGAAACUAGAGAAUAUAGUUUAUUUCUGUACGUAAAGAAAGAAAAAAAAAAAAGACUAACGAUUUGGUUCAAAGAAAGAAACAUGCAAUAUAUGCAAAAUGUUGCUUAUAUGAGAAAAGCUUGUGGUUACUAGUCUCUAUCUCUGUUAUUAUUCUAGAUUGUGUGUGUUUUUUUAAUGUCCCAUGCAUGGCAGUUCACAUCAUUAUGUAACAUCCGUUACUUCGUAAUCUAUCUUAAUUCUAAGACUUUAGGCGUUUUGAAAAUAAAAUAUAUGUUUUAGUUAUGUUAUCUGUAUAUAAUGAUUAACCAUGAUCUUCCUCUUUUUUUUCUUAGGUCUUUUUGUGUUCCAUUGGAAACCAAGAUGGUGAAUCACAUUUUAUUGAUGGAACAUCAAUUUCAAUUAUUGUGUCAUUUUUUUCAAACUGAGAAAAGAAAACAUACUAUUGUCUUCAAAGUAGGACAACCUUUUUGAGUUUAAAGCAAAGCACCAUUACAUUAGUAUAUGCAUAUCUCUUUAUUUAUUCCCAACAUUCUCUCCAAGAGUUUCUUAAUAACUUUUAAUUCUGUGUAGAUACAUAAUACACAUAUAGGUAUACGUCUUUCUUUGAUAUAUGAGUCGAUCUCAAAUGACUUUAGUUAUGAUGUAUACAAUAUGAAAUUAAUGCUCAAAGACGCAAUCGCUAUAGAUAGCAUGUCACCCAUACAGUAAUUCAAACAUCUAAAUGUGCGGAAACGAAAAUGACAAAAUAAGAUAUAUAUUAGUUAGGGAGGGAUGCAACGAAAUAUGCAAAACAAAAAAAAAACAAAAAAGAAAAGGGAAAGGGGAAGGAAGCUAUAGGCACGCUUUGUCCCAAAGAAAGGACCAAUUUCGAUUUUUGUUAUGAAACUCUUAUGGUAACACCAUCAUGCUAUUUCCCACUACCAUCAACUAUAUCAUCAUUCCCUUUUCACACACACACACACAUAUAACUUUGUAUAUGUAUGUAAUGUCCUUAAUUACGUUACGUAUAUAUAUAUAACUCCAGUUAGACCCGAUCCUAAAUUUUAGAAGGCCACAAGCGGGAGAAAAAAAAAAUUGAGACUGAUAUUGAUAUAUUUUUUCAUAAUUUUUUCUUCACACUUACCAUUUCUCUUAAUAAAUUUAACAUGUGUAUACUCAAGACUCGUGGAUCGUUGUCAUUAGCAAAUGUAUUACUGUAUUAUACAUGUCAUAGACUGAUCACUCGAUGGCGUUGAGACACAUAUCCAUCCACAUCUAACAAGUAUCAUAUUGUCAACUUUUAGGUAUCGUAGACAUGAAAGGAAAGAAGGAAUUUAACAGGCAUGUAAUUAAAAUAAUUACUUUUACUUCAUAUAUUAGUUUUACACUGAUAUGUAUCUGACUAAAUAUAUAGCUGACGAUGAAAGAAUGGUUAAUAAUUAGGCAAAGGUAAGGAAAAGAUAGUUGUUUAUGAAUGCAAAUUAGGAUGAUGUUAGUUUUUUAAAGAAUUAUAUGCAUGGGAUUCUCUUGAGGAUGUAUCAUUGUGCUUUAUCAACGAUUACUCUCAAUAUAAAGACCACAGAAGCAUGUAUAUAUAUACUAAUACACAUAUCUCUUUGACACGCAAUAAUUUCUUCGUAAUGAUUUUGACUCACCAAGAAAGUCAAUUUCUCAUACAAAUUGAUGAUCACAUGUAGUUAAUAUUGGCAUAUUACUUUCACUGCUUUUGUUUUGUCUUAUGGUAGAAACUAGAAACCCCUUACACUCUAUCUAAUUACCCCUAUAUAAUAAACAAAUUAUUGCAUUAUAAAAUGUUUUAUAUAAAAGAGCGAGCAAUUAAAAUCUAUAUAAUAAAAAACAACACAACUAGUAAUAAUAGAUGAUAUGCAUAGUAGUAUAUUAAAUAAAAUCAUUUACAAUUGUAGUAAGUCCAUUUUAUAAUAUGGAACGGAGAGAGAGAGAGUAUAUGGUUGAUUAAACUAGCUAGUAUAAGAAUUUGUCCCAAAAAAAAAAACUAGUAUAAGAAAUCGGUGGAAGAAUAAAAUUAAGACCACACUACAGUAAUAUAUAUGCUAUUUAUACGAUUUCUUAUUAGUUUAUAGGAAAGUAUUGAAGAUUUUUUUAAUAAAAUAACCUGGAUGGUAUAUAGCUAAUGAGACGUAUAUAGUUUAACAUGAAAUGCUACUUACUAUAUUGGAGAGAAAUUAACGAUCCCUGCCUUUGAAGCUGUAGUAACGAUUCAUAUAUUUGUUUAACAAAAAAAAAAAAAGUAACGAUUCAUAUAUUUGUCGACAGCAGGAUUAGCAAAUACUAGUAAAUAAAUAAUCUUAGUAAUAACUGUAUAAUAAUGUGAAGACAGUGUAAAAAAUAAAGUAAAGGAAAGCAAUCUAAUCAUCUAUAUUCGCAAACUCCAAGGUGCAGCCAAGGAAAAGGUGGGAAGGUUGGGAAUACGACAGAAGAACACGUCAUAUUGUUACGGUGCACUGGCACACAUAGGAUCAUAUUUUACUGGUUUUUGGACAAAACACUGUUCUGUCAGGGAAUGUCUCUUCUUCUCUUCCAAGGCUUUCAAACAAUUUAUUUAUUUAUUUUAAAUGAGUAGAUCAAUUAGUUUUGUCCUUUUUUUUUGCCUCCACAACUUAUCAUUUGGGAGCGCCCCUAGAAUGUGCUGUUUGUUCUAAAUUCAAAAUUCGUAGAAUGUGUGUGAGUCAAUUUGUUUAAACGAGAAUCAUAUCCAAUAUGGUGGUAUAUGCUUUUGAUAUUAAAAAAGAAAAACAUACUUGCAUAGUUACAGAACAUAUAAGCAUAGAGCUCCAAAUAAACAAAUAAAUAUUGUAUACUAAUACUUCUGGCUUCUUCUUCUCAGUCAUGUAAUAAAAUCAAAUAAUGGUGUGGAAGAAGAAGAAGAAGAAGAAGAAAUAUAGCGUUUUUGUGUGCCCAUGAAAAGCGCGGGACCUGUUGUGUGAGUGGUGUUCACGAGGGACGAGGAGGGAAAGAUUCUUGAUGAGUCAGGUGACACGUGGAGGGAGAUGAUUGGGUAGGCAGCUGAGAUGAUGACAUGUUGAUUUUGAGAGAGCUUUAAAGCCUUUAGGUGUCUGUCGGGCUACAGGUAGGCAAGCACAGUCCCCACCCCAUCCCCAAUAAUAUGUCUUGUCAUCCUAUUUCACCUUUCUCUCUUCUUCUUCUUCUUCUUUUUUGCAUUUUUUUUUUGGCUUUCUUUACAAAAUUUUGAAGUAACAACAACACUCACUCACGGCGGGCGGGGAAUCUCAAAGUUAGCUUGUAGGCUUAAUAACCCUGGAGGACGAUGAUGGGCUUUAGUAAACCCAAUACAAGAUUAUGGCCCAGUCCACCAUACCCAAUCGGAAUGGUGAGAGAAAUGAGAAUCUUUUAUACAAAUACUGUACUACAAUUCAAGUGUUGUAGGCUUGUAGCUACAAAUACUUGAAUACUUGAUAGCGUCGUGUGACCUAUCAGCAUCCGAUUCUGUUUCUCUCUAACACGUUGUUGGCUGUAUUUAAAAUAGUGGUUUCAAAAUCCCCCCACAUUCACAUCCUUGGAUACACAAUAGAAAAGCGACUCAACGCAGAACAAUGGAAACCAAUGUGUCAACAGUCAAUCUGCUCAUAUUGAGAAUAAAAUGGUAUAUCACUCACUAAACACAUGUGAGUUAAAAAGGAAGACACUUUGGAUUGUUCCUUACUGUGUUAUGUAAAAGCCAAAUUAAAAAAGAAAGAAAAAGAAAGAAGGAUGAUAUGAAGUGUGGUCACUAGCUGAUGAGUAUGCCAUUGUUUGAUGUGACUCUAUUUUCCUUUAGGUGAAAUAAAAAGAGCAGCCAGUCCAAUCGGUUUCUUCUUUUUAGCGUCAGCAGAGAAUAAAAUAUAUCCUAGUCAUCUAUUAUUAACGUUUUUUUUUCUUUUCUUCCAAAUUAAUAUAGCAAAACAAAGAACGUACCAAAACUGAUGACUUCCAAUAGCAGCAUUUUAGUCCCCUUUCUUUCGUAACUACUAGUGUUGUUGUUAAUCACAAAAAAAAAACAGUCUUCGGGUUCGGCUUUAUAUAUAGCUUUGUCGAACCAAGUUUUUUACUUAUUGUCAUAAUAAUAAUGUUUUGUGAUUAUUAUGUAUGAAUACAAAUGUGAAAAGCAAAGGAAGGAAUCAAAUAACAAAUGUUGUUUGUUGGAGUGUCAAUUGCAGCAGCAACUCUACUACUGCAACCCUACGAGCUUAGGUUUGCCAUUUUGCCUUCAAAGACGACGACUAUUUGAAACUGCGACUACAAAACGGCCUUUUAAAUUUUGUUUCUCCAUACUAUAUGAUGCUCUACUAAAGAGUAAACAUUUUCUCUUGUACAGAACCAACCACAUCAACUACUCUUUUUACACCACCUUCAUUCAAAAUUUCAAAUCAACCCCCCCCCCCCCCAACUCCUAUUUCAUAUAUAUCAAUCGAAAUAAUGGUUUGUAAGCUGAAUUCUUAACUAAACCCAACUCACAUCUACCACUUUACCAUCAUAAUAAUACGCUUUAACACCCAACCAACAUGUGUUUUUGAUCUUCUUCUGUGCUAGAGGGAGUGUGUGUAGUGGGACGAAUGAUGAUGAUGAUGAUGAUGAUGAUGAUAGUACGAAGUUUAAGGGGAAUGUUGGGGGAGGGUCCAUAUUUCUAUGAGUGAAUUUUUUAUUUUAUACUGAAUGUCUCUUUGAAUUUUAAAUUGCUAAGGUUUUAAUUUGUGGUCUCUUACAGUUCGGCUAAGUGUGUGUGUUUCCUAAAUGACAAACAAAGAACCAAAACGAUUUGGUUACAAGUGUCCUUUUUCUUCGUAUUCUUCACAAAAAGGGUUUAAGUACAACUUUAUUAUAUAUAUGCAUAAUAUAAUAUGGGGUUUUACACUAGACAUGGUGAUUACUAGCGGAAUGGUACUACUACUAGUAAAGUUAAUGGGGGGGGGGGGUUUUGUUUCGGUUGGCUACAGUACACACUACCAAAUUGAGAUGACCAUUUCUCGGAAUUUGGUAGCUAUGGAGAGUAUUGUUGUACUGUACACCAGUACUGGUCUUCUUCACACUAGUAUUAAAGUCUUUUGGUUUGUGACACUCUUAUAUAAUAGACAACAAAUCUUGAGAUGUCAUAAAUUUAGGUAACGAACAGCUGAGAUUGAUUCAAAAGAGUUCAAAAUACGUACACUAUCCAUCCCCAACCCAACCAAGUUAAUUCAUAUUUAAUACUAGUUUUUAGAAAAAAGGAGAAACCAAAAUAGUAAACACCCAGAUUGAAGUUUAACCCUCUCCCAUCUUUUAAAAUUUGGAUGAAAAAUUUAUAAUCUCUUGUCUUCAAAAAAGUAUCUUGGGUACUCACUCCUUGGACUAUAAUUAUUGCCACGAGGAUCCACCACCACCAGAUGCAGCAGAAGUAGUACCAGCACUUAACAUGCCAUAUUCCAAAACCCAACAGACUGGUCAGCUUCUCCUUCUUCUUUCUCCUCCUGUCCACGAUCACUAUGAUCAUCAUCCUCUUUCACAUUGCCACCACUGUUGGUGCUUGGUGAUGAUACUGGAAGCUUCAGGCUCUCAAAUGGCAGUAAAGGCCUUCCACUAUUAGUAGUAGCAGUAGUGGUGCCACUGGACCCCUCUUCUUGAUGCAGAGGAUCCCCACCAUCAAGAAAGAACCCCAAAGCUGGUCUCAUGAACUCUUGAAACUGUGGGUAACUGAGACCAAACCCAGAUGCUGUGUAGACGGAUGAAUCGUGAACAUUUGGGAAAGACAUGAAAGCAGGGCGAGAGUUAGAGGAAGCGGAGAUCCCUAAAAGCUCCAAAGCCGAGGAGGUUGAGACAAGUGGGUUGUUGUUGUUCUUCAUGCUGCUGCUGCUGGGUGUUACUUGCAGAAACUCAGGAAUAGUGUGAUGUUGAUGAUAAGCAAUCCCAAACCCUUGAGAAAACGCCAAGUUGAGAUCUUUAACCUCGUGGGCAUUCCCAAACCCCGGAGAAAAGGUCAAGUCUUGAACUUUAGCAGCGGCUUCACCAGUCUUAGGGUUCGGCGCAGGUGAGUUGGUGUUGAUGGCAAGAGGAGGUUUCUUGGGUGAAGAGGAGGAGGAGGAGGAGGAGGGGGAAGAGGAAGAUCUCUUGGUCUUCCUGAUGCCGCCACCGACGGGGAUGUUCCUGAGAGAACCACCUUGGGUCCAAUACCUGCGGCAGUCCUUACAGAAGUACCUGGGCUGAGUGAGGCUGUAGUUGUUGUAGUAGCAGAACUUGGUGUUGAGAGAGUUGCAUCUAGGACAGUUGAAAGAUUGGUCUUUCUCGGGUCGUGCCUUCCUCUCAGCGGGAGUAGCAGGAGGAGGAGGAGGAGGAGGGUGUUUCAGGCAUGAGUUUGUGACGAUCUCGUUCAUUGGCUUCACAACAAACUCCUGUAUAUUUAUGUUUAGAAAUUGCAAGAAACAAAGAAAACAAUACACGAUUAUUCUCGUUUUCACUUUUUUGAUCAGCUUCCAAUUUUUAUUUAAUAAAAAUAAAAAAAAGAUGGGGACUGGUCAAAACAAGAAUGAUAAAAGGAAGAACGUGAAAAAGAUACCUGAGGCCAUUGAGCAGUGUCCAUGGCAAUGGAAAAAUUCAAGCUGAUAAAAAAAAAAAAACUGUGAAGAAGAAAGGAGAGAAAGGGAAAGCUAAGCUGAGGGGAGAGAGAGAGAGGAGAAGUGUGUGUGGGAAAGGUAAAGCUGGUUUUCGAAAAAGCAAAGAAGAAGACGAAAAAAGAGAAUUUUUAAACAGGAUUUUAAUUUUUUUAAAUAGAAAAAAGAUGGUCACUUGUAAAAAGAGAAGAAUAUAAAAAUUGGGAAAUUGGAUAGAUACACGUAAAUAGUGUGUGUGGGGGGGCUUUUGAUGGAUUCUUCGUAUGAGAGAGGUUUGGUGGUUUUGGUCUGAGUCUCUGACACACAACACACAGAGAGACAAGUCUGAAGUCUGAAAGUAUUAUUAUUUAUUAUGCUAUCCUCCUCCCCCGCCGUCCCACGAAUCUCUUUUAGUACUGUAUUAUUAGUAAAUUUUAAUUAUCUCUCUCAUCCUUUUUUUUUUUUUAUCCGUUAUUUACUCACAUAUACAGUAUAUAUAAAUUAGCAAAAAAAUACUAUUCAUAAAUUAUGACAUAACCACGACACGUAGUGUAUAAAUUAUGAGCUUUGUUUUUGAUAAAGUAGUGUAUAAAUUAACUAGCGGUUUGCUGCGUCUGUGAAAGGCUGAGUUGACGACCGGCGGCAAACUGCAUCCGUCCGUCAGACUUUUUGGGGCAUCACAGCGCUGAGACUACUGACGAACCCAUCGCCAUAUAUAUAUACACAGCGUGCCAGUUAAUCUUAAUUAUGACAUAACCACGACACGUGUCUCUUUCUUGAGCAUUAGGACUCCACCACCACAGGGAAGACUGAAGAGAGAGAGAGAGCAUUUGCACUGCUGCUGCACCCCCAUAAUUAACAAUUAUAUAUAUAUAUAUAUAUAUAUAUAUAUAUCAAAGUAAUUUACGACGUACACUCUGUGUAAAUCUAGAUAUAGCCCCACCCCCAGUUUAAUUAAUUUGGCUUUAUUUUCUGGCCGUAGAAGAAGAAAGAAAGAUGUAUCCAUCCAUCCUCUCUUCUCAGCCUUCCGAUCGAGCCGACCAUCUUCUUCUUUUGCCAUCCACCUCAGCAUCUACGUACCCUUUUGCCAUCCACCUCAGCACUAAUUAUUCUUCUUUCCUUUUCUUUUUUAUUUAUUAUUAUUAUUACAUUGUUAGACUAACUAUACACAUUCUUCAUUUUCCCUUUUAACUUCAACAAGUUCUUCACAAUUGCUGUUGUUUGUCUGAGUUAGUUUAUAGGUUGUAAGAUCAUCAUCAAUACAUGUUGGAUACCAUUUAUAUAGAAGAACGUACAUCUUUGUAUAAUGUAUAUAUUGACUCUUAUUUCCUCCAUGUGCCACUUCAAUAGCGACAUCUAUUGCCAAUAUGGUAAACGCUUAUGUUUUAUACCCGACCUUUUUUUUUCUAAUUUCAUUUUCUUAAUAUUAAAGCAUGCACAUGAUGUCAAAUAUUCCAUUAUUAAUUAUUAUUUGUUUAAGAAGAGUACCUAGUAUGGUAUCAUAUGCUUUUUAUAAAAGAUAUUGAAUUGAUCCAAGUUUAACCUAAUAUGCAUAUGGCACAUCUCACAUGUCAAAUGCAUGGCUUGUGUGAUGACCGAUACUACAAUUGUCUGCCUUGUCGUCAUAUCAUAUCAUAUGGCAUGCUAGCUUUGAUAUAUCUAAUAUUUGCGUACGCCACUAUUUUUUAUUGUCCUGGUUUGUUAAGUAUCUUAUCGAAGACCGAUCCAUAUCCGUCUUGUAGGUAUGUUCAAUCACAAGUAGGCCAUUUCAUCUGUUAGUUUCUUCUUUUACGUACGUAUCAACAACUACCAAUACCUAUCUAAAGUACUACUUUUCCUAUCUUAAAAACUUCUGUGUUAACAAUAAUAUAUAAAAGUAUAUCUUACAUACAACAUUGUCAUUAUAGAAUUCAGGUCGAUCAUAAUAUUGCAUUUUGUAACCGAAAAUACGAGAUAGAUGGAUAAUAUACAGAAUUACUAUAUUUAUGUUAUGUAUUUAAGCCAGAUGCAUGGUGUAUGCGAAUGAUGUGGACGUAUAUAUAUAGCAACUAAACUAAGCAAAGCUAUUGUAAAUGGGACAAUACACUAGCGUUGGUAUCUAUAGCUAGAAUCCAUUAUUAUUUUAGAAAUCUAGAUUUUUGGGACAAAGACAACCAACCAAUGUGGCUCUUAGUUUUGUCUAAUAUGGUGAUCGUCCACUUAUAAAUGGUUACCCAAAUAAAAGAAACCAUUGUGGAAUUUCUAUAUAAGUUUGCAUGUAUUAAAUAUUUGAUUAGAAAACAUUGACUUAUAGAAUACACAAAUCUAAUGAUACUUAGAGAGAUAUAACUGUUAGCAUAAAUAAAUAAUGACUAGCUCAAAUCAAUUUUUUUUUUUUCACCCUGCUUAUAUAGCUUGUCAGUGAAAGCACUAUAAAGCCAUUUGAUAUUUUGAAAGGUGCUCGCUUACUGUAAGGUCAUUUUUUGUGAAUAUCAAUAUCAAGUUUGGACUUUGGAGUAGGUAUUUGUGUAUAUAACCUGCGGUAAUCCCAUAGUUAUAAAUUUGAUGACUAAUUAACAACAAAAAAAGAAAAAGAAAGGAAGAGCUUGUGUCAUGUUCUUGAAUCGGAUCUAAAUAUGGAUUAGAGAAAGAACCAUAUGUGUACUCGAGCAAUUUACCUUUUUGUUGUUGUUGUUGUUGUUGUUGUGUGCAACUUGCUUGAGCAAACUACUAUAUAUAGCACAACGUACAAAGCAUAUUAUUAUCUUUAGGAAAAAAGAGAAAUAUUUCAUUAUGUAAUUAUUUGUAGUUGAAUCAGAUAUAUAAUGAGCAGUGAGUGACUUAGAGUAUUUAAAAACAAUCCCCCGAGAAUAAAGGGCGAGAGGAGAGCCAUCGUAGGAUUUUUUGGACCACAUCCGCCAACUGGACAAUUGGUUAGUUAUCUAUCCCCCUUACUUAUAUGAUUAUACAGUUGAUUGGUUGGUCCUACGUAUAAAACACAUUCCCCUAGUUACUACUGUAGAAGUGUAGAGUCUUGUGGUUUAGGGUUUGACUCCAAACCUUCCUUAGCACACCAUAUAUAAUAAAAUGUUUUUGGUUCACUAUUUUGGAUCGGUUAUGUAUGCGUGCAUUGCAUCCAGCAUAGCAACAUUCAGCGUCCGGGAUUUGGUAUUGAAUUGAAUAAAACAAACACCAUUUUCGGUAUCAAACAUUUCAUAGAUUGCAAAUUUGACCAAUUAAAAUCUUAAAUGAAAACGUUACAAAAUUAUUGUUUAGACGUAUAGAAUGGGGCGUCACAGCCGGUUCUUAGAUAGAAGGUAGGAAAGUAUGAUCGAGUCUAUAAAAGAAAUCAAGUGACCAGACUUGUCGUUUACAUUUACUUUUAGCAUACGUACGUGUAAGUUGUGUCAUCAUAGCACGUGUUCUUGUUCUUGCCUUAUAUUGGGUUAGAAAACAUAACCAUUUUGCAUCAAAUUAAUACAGUACAGUUCGAAAUUAUAAUGUUUAAUUUCAGAUGGUAAUAUGAAUAUCGUUAUCAUCAUGUUCUCCCCUUUCCCAAUAAAUAUCGUUAGACACGUUCUUUUUGGUUAGGGUUCUUCAGCUUAGAGAGUUUCUUCUACAUUAGAGCCCAUUUAAGAGUUUUCAUGAUGAUUAAGAAAGCCCAACAAUCACACCCACGAGGCCGCGACCACAAGGAUUGAACUCACGACUCUUUCUUCUACGACUCCGCAGUCCGCACCAUAUUCAUAUUUUGUUUUUAUUCCUUCUAAUUUAACAAAUUUUGUUUUUAUUAUUCACUUGCACAUUUUUAUUUCCAUCUACGAUUAAUCAAAUAAUAUUAUACGAUGAUAGUAUAUAUAUAUUGGUUUCUAACCAAUUAAUUUCAACAAUACUUUGGCCGUGGAGGCUUCAAAUUAAUAAAUAAUUUUAUUAGUUGGGUGAGCUGGGGUUGGGAAUAUUUAUUUGUUCAUGGAUGGAUGAACUAUUAUUAUACAUAUACUAUUGUCAACAAAAUACAAUUAGAAAAACACGUUACCUUACGUUACGUGUGCCUAAAUAUUUUUUAGUACACAAGAAAGUUAUGUAUAUAUAUAUAUAUAAUGACUUGAAUAAAGAAGAAGAUUUAAAAUAGUUUUAUUAGUUGGGUUCUUUAAAAAAGGUUUUGUUACAGUUUAAAGUAAAAUGAUGAAUCAGAGCGUAAUAUUUGUAUCAGUGUGACGGUAAUAAAACUAAUUCUUACUCACUAAAAGAAGUUUAAGAAAAAAUAUGAAAGUAUAAGUUGAUCGAUAAUGUAAUUUUUUUUUUAAUUUUUAAAAGGCGUUUGAAGUCAGAGAGUGGAAGUGAAUGACAAUUAAAAAUAAAAAAAUGAAAAGAUAGAAAAAUAAUUUCCAUAUGAAACGUUUAAUUCGUAAACAUCGAAGAAGAAGAAGAAGAUGAAGAUGAAGAUGAAGGAUAUAUGUUUAUAUAUAAGUAAACCUCUUUCCAUUUCCACUAAUAAAAACCCCAAAAAUUUGGAAGAUUGUUACCUUUUCUUUGUGAGUUAACUGUUAUUAACUCAAAAAAAAAAAAAAAAAGAUCACCACAGCUCUCUCUCUCUCAAGUCUCAAGUCUCAAGUCUCAACGAAAGAGCGCGACUCGAAGAUCGAACCGACACAUAUUUUCAUUCAUACCCCUUUCCUUUCCUUCCCUUCGUUGGGUUUUUAAUAUCCCUCCUUUCUUCUUCGAUUCUGACUAAAAUUUUGCUGGUUUUGAUUAUUUAAGAAAGAUCACAGUGACUCGAUUCUACAAAUUUGGGUGGGGCUUCUUUGGUAAUACAGGUAAAAUCAUAAUCCUCUUUUGACCAUUUCUUCCUUCCUUCUUCCUUCUAUUUGUUUGUUUCUUUUGCAUUACUUUCAAGCCAUCUCUUCCCUUGAACCACUUUUUUUUUUGUUUUGUUUUAAGUUAGGUUACGAGUUCUUCUACAAUUCAACUAUGUAUGUAUUCCUUUUCCCUUUCUUUUAUGGCCAAAAUUUUACAUUUUUUUAAUUUGAUUUGAUUUUUGGUCUUUCGUUGACUCUGCAUUCCCCUGUUUAACCUUUUUUCCCCUUAAGAGGAAUUUUCAAAAUUGUCAUUCUUUUUCCAACUAAUCCACGAGUCUCUCUCUCUCCACAGCCUCUGUGAUUUUUUUUUUUUUUUUUUUUUUUGUCGACAGCCUCUGUGAUUCUAAUGUAUGAUUUUGAAUAGUACGAAAGCAUGAUUCUUUCUUUCUUUGGCAGCCAAAGUUGAAGUCUUUCUUUCUUACCCGUUUCCUCUCUCUCUUUUUCCUUGGAACAGAGGGUGCGAGUCAUGGGUACUCCUGCUACUCUUGGUGACGAAGACGACGAUGACCGCUUCUUUGAUGCCCACCAACACGACUUUUCUUUACAUCUUUGGACCACUUCUCCUGACUGUGUUUCCAACCGCCGCCGCAACUUCCUCCAAUCUAUGGGCUUUAGUUUCAAAAAGUCUGCUUCAGACGAUUCUCUACAUGAACUUCUACCAUCUCCCCACGCUGUGUCUCAAGUUGCUACCGUCUCUUCUAUUGAAGCUGUGAAAGAAGUUGAUCUCUUGCUGAGGAAUGAAUCUACUUCCUCCUCUGUCUUUGAUAUUUCCUCUGUUUCAUCGUCAUCUGAGGAUGCAGAUGAUCAAACCUUGUUGUCCAGGAAUGAUUCCUCCACUAGUACUAGUACUAUUAUGCCUCUGGGCUUGAGUGAAUCCGGCUCUAGUAAAUCCGGUAGCUUUGGCGAUUUCCAUGACUCUCCAUCGAGCCGAAGAGAUGAUUUGCUCAGUAAAGGGGCUAAAUCUUGGUUAAGGAAGCUAGGUGCUUUGACACAUGUCCUUGAGUCUAUGGACUGUGAAUCUGUGAGAUCACCAUUGCAUCAUGUUGCGCGAGUGCAGACACACAAGAAGCAGUUCAAGGAGCUCUCAUCUCUAUGUGUUGAUCAAGACUUUUCAGCGCAUGAUGGCUCCAUCUUAGCCAUGAAGUUUUCUCCUGAUGGGAAAUACAUUGCAAGCGCUGGUGAAGACUGUGUUGUCCGAGUUUGGGCCAUCACUGAGCGAGAGAGAACACAAAAGUAUGAAGUAGCUGAGGUUGAUUCUGGUGUCUACUAUGGGAUGAACCAACAUUCUCAGAUUGAGCCCUUGAAGAUUAAUUGUGACAAAACUGAAAAGAAGACCUCAAGUUUUUUGAGGAAGUCACCAGACUCAACUUACGUUGUGUUACCUCCUACUAUCUUCAGUAUAUCGGAGACGCCUCUGCAUGAGUUCAGAGGUCAUAGAGGUGAGAUCUUAGAUCUUUCCUGGUCUGAGAAAGGGGUAAAUAUCUUUUCAAACUCUUCCUUAACAUUUACACAGUCUUUGGUUGAAAACAUCUCUGCUUACAGUUACCCCUCUUUGCUGCAGUAUCUCCUCUCAUCUUCUGUGGAUGAGACUGUUCGUUUAUGGAGAGUAGGUUCUGAUAAAUGUCUCAGCACGUUUACUCAUAACAACUUCGGUGAGCUUCUCCUGUACUGGUGCCUUUUACUACUUUCAUUCUUUUCUUUUUCUUUUUUUCCAUUUGCUGUGUAUUCACUUUUCAUCUUCUUACACAGUGACUUGUGUGGCAUUCAACCCUGUGGACGACAAUUACUUUAUAAGCGGAUCUAUUGAUGGGAAAGUUCGAAUAUGGGAUGUGUCUCGUUGUAGGGUUGUUGACUACACAGAUGUAAGAGACAUUGUUACAGCUGUGUGCUACCGUCCAGAUGCAAAGGUAUUUUGAAAGACUUGAAUCUUAAGAUUAAACUUAUUUUCAUAUGAGCAGUUGCUUACAUUAUAGUGUUUUUCAGGGUGCAGUAAUAGGUUCCAUGACAGGGAACUGUCGCUUUUACCUUAUAUUCGGUAUGUUUUCAUCUUACAGAUCACUUACUUACUUCUUAAUGAGAGUGAGUGUAUCAUUUAUUUGUUCAUGUUGUGUAUUUCAGAUAAUCAGCUGCAAAUGGACAAAGAGAUCAACGUGCAUGGUAAGAAGAAGGUUGCAAGCAAAAGGAUAACUGGUCUUCAGUUUCUUCCCAGUGACCCGGAAAAAGUAAUGGUUACUUCUGCUGAUUCACAGAUUCGCAUUUUAUGCGGAGAGGAUGUAAUCUGCAAGCUUAAAGGUCAGGAACUGUUAUAACUGUAGAUGAAUGAUUGCAUUUGGUUAGAUAUAAGAUUUAUGAUCGAAACUUUCUUUUGUGCUUGCAGCUUCUAGUCUUCGCACAACAUCUGCUUCAUUUAUUCCUGAUGGGAAACAUAUUGUCUCAACAUCAGAGGAUUCUUGCAUUCAUGUGUGGAACUACUCUCAGUUACCGAGUAAGAAACCUUCUUCAGGAAUAAAAAGCACUCGGUCUUACGAGGGCUUUCUCUCACACAAUGCGUCUGUAGCUAUACCUUGGCUCCGACAAGGACACAGGGAUGAUCUGUCUGAAUGUAUCAUAGAUCUGGACAGGAAGAUACCGAAAGUGGACUGUUUCUCUCCGAUGAAAGGAUCAACAACGUGGCCUGAAGAGAAGCUGGAAGAUGCUGCAAUGAGCAACAGAGAGAAACUGAAGCUUCUGAGGAGCGCAUGGCAGCCUCACCUGUGGGGGCUUGUGUUUGUGACAGCGACAUGGGAUGGAAGGAUCAGAGUAUUUAACAACUAUGGUUUGCCAGUUCGGGUCUAAAAGACAUACAAAAGUUAUUAGAUAGGAUUCUUUUAUUUGUUACUUAGGAGUAAAAUAUGUAUACAUAUUACACAAAUGUCUCAAAAAUCUUUUGUCCACUAUUUUUGGUAAUAAUAUUUAUGGAGUGAUUUUAUGCAAUCGUGCCCUAAGCCUGAAAGUGUUAUUACUGUUUUUUUUCUGCCCAAAAUCAGUGCCUACAAGUUUCUCUGUAUCUCUCUAUGGAAAUAUUAUUUUACCACUUGCUAAUUCUAAGGCCAGGCACCCCAUUUCUGGUCUUGAUCUGGUCGACACCACUCAGUAUCUAUUUGCUUCUCUUUGCCACUUUCUUGUUGAGUCGUGAGAGGCCAUAAGUCUCCCCAAAAGGAUUUCUUGGCCUGCAAAUGAAGAUCCGGGUUCUUGCUUUUUGUUAUCACUCUUCUUUCAAAUGCUCCCUCUGAACCAUCCUCUUUGGUUGGCACACACAUAUCUAAGGUCACUUGUUUCCCUUUGCGGAAUGGAGGGAAUAUGAUUCUUCCCCAUCCGCCUCCCACACUCGCUCUCUCACCCUCACCCUCCUCUUCCUCUUGAUCUUCCUCUUCAAUAUUGUCUUCCAUAUCCUCAUCAGUACCUUCACCAUCUUCACCAUAUUCCUGUUCUUCCUCCUCAUCCACGGUAUCAGAGUCAUAUUUUCUCGGAUCUAUGUAAGGCACUUCAACCACUUGUGAUUUGAUAAAGUCCUCUGCACAUAUCAAAUGGGCUCAAAGCUUAGAAGGGUCAAAAGCUAGAUAUGUGUAUGGUUUUCAUAGGUUAACAGCAAACUUACCAUAAUCAAUCUCUAGAUCCGCGGGUUUCUUAUUUGCGCGUCUCUCCUUCAAUGUCUCCAACUUCAUUCCGUCAAGAGGCCACAACUCCCUAAAUAGAAGUCAUAACCAAAACCCCUUAACAACAUUUCUCCCAAGCUACUAAUGAUAGUUCAUUCAACAAUACAAAACUACCAACCGUGGGCGCUGACCUCUCCUGAAAGCCACAAAAGAAAACUUUUCAUCCUCGAACCCACGUAGGGGAACACCUUUUGUACGCUGCAAAAGGUAAAUGUAUGGAUUUGGUGUCAUCAUCAAACAUAGAGAAAACUAAAAUCUAUAUAUUUUUUGUAGACAAGUCUUAGCAAAAAUAUGGAACCUUGUAGGAACGCUGCGAUGAAGUUCUCUGCAACCGCUGUACAAAAUGGCAGUACUUUCCAGUGUUUUCCAGUGGGCACUUUCCGUCAUGAGGGCACUGCAUAUGCAACCCCCUCCUUUGUAUUACAAUGCAUUCAUGUAAUCGUUUUCAUAAAAACUGUAACAUCAAGUCCUUGACUUAGUGUUUGACAACUGGUUUCAGGAGAUAUAUUGACACUUACUGGAGCAACAAUAUGCGCACCAGAUUUGAGAUCGAGCACGUCCUUCCCAAGUUCACCGUUCUUCAAUUUCUUUUCCAGUUUACGUAGUUUCUAAGACAAAAUGAAUACAUUGAAAAUAAGCAGAGAGGACUAAAAAAAAAUCGACAACAGAGUUCAUUAUAUGAGUUAUGAAUGUAUUUGUAUGCAGAAGUAAUUACCCUCUUCUCCAUCCACAGUAUAUGAGACCGCAUCUGAGAUAUAAUAUUAGCACCGUGUGGCGUUCCUGGUUCAAUCAAAACCUAUUCAACCACAAUUUACAAAAAGAAUCAGUAAAGCUCAUUAAUUUCAACAAAUGAAAAUGCAAGAGCAUAUUUGAGGAGAGGUAGACGUUCCACUAGAAGAGAAGUUAUUGAGGAAGUCAAAAACAUACCAAGAUAUCAUCUGUAAGGUCCCAGAGCUGGCGAACCACAGUAAUCCUGUCUUUCAGAGAUGGGAUCUCCCCUAAAACAUAGGACUUGACCACCACAGGAAAACAUUAGGAAAUUUACUCAGUAAAAAACAAACUUGUACAGAAGAAUCACAGAUGAUGUGACUGAUAAAAGAAAUAACCCACAGCGAUGACAAGAUCAUGUUUCCUCUCAGACUUUUCGUUGAUUUCUUUACACUUUUUGCUGAUCUCUUUACUAAGAGCUAGCAGGCUAGUAUACCCGUGGAUCAGAGGCAAAUCCUUGAGGCCUAUCGUAUUCAGAAUAAUGGUAAGAUAAGAAUCAAAAGAUGCAGUUAAGUGUAGUAACAGCUUUGCAAGACGCUAUGAAAGUGAAUUACCCUGAAUUAAGUUACGUCCUGCACGCUGCAUUGACUGUGAUGGUUCCACUAUGUUUACUUUCUCCACGGACUUUGGCCAAACCUCUUUAACAGCCCUACAAGAUGUUACAACGAAUCAAGAACAAAACAAAUAAAAAAAGGAUCAGAACAAAUAAGGAAACAUCUAUCCAUCUCCUCACCAGAAACCAGAACCGGUGCCAGCACCAAAAUCCAGCACUCUUGUAGGCGUAAAACCCGGUAAUCUUCGACGAAUCUAUAUAACAAGGUUUACAGUCUCAACCUCAGUAUCUUCUACACAUUUAGCUCAGGACUACUAUACCAGAUGGUAUCACACAUGAUCAAACAAUUUUAGCUAAAUGCCUAAUAAUAAGAAAUAGAGAAAUUGACCUCAAUGAGUACUCUGUAGCAGACGGAGAAAACAGCGGGCAUACGAGAAGCAAUGUAAGCAGCGGUCUCACCGUCCUCGUAUUGGAGACCACUAUCUCCAUAAACGGUCUGUAUCUUCCACCGCUUGGUCUCAACCGAGUUCAUAGAAUCUGCUAGGCUCUUGGCAGUUGUUUCAGGUAGCUGCAGAUUCGUAUCCUUGAUCUCUUGGAACGAUUCUGAUAACUGGCGGACCUUCUUCCUAAUGUGCGGAUCAUCUUCCUCGCGAAGAUAUUUCUUUAUAGCGCGGCGAAGAGGGACGGGGACUACGAGGCACCGGAGAGACUGUUUGGCUGCAGACCUUAGGGUUUCGACCGUGAAGACUUUCUGGGCAUUCGCCAUUAUCAAGCCGGAGAGCUUAAUGGAACAAGUUGCAGGAGCCUCCGAGGUUUUAGCCUCCGAGGAGGGUCUGUCUAGGGCUUAGUGCCAUGGGCCUUUCAAAGACCAAAUUGUUAUUUCAUGGGCCUCAAAAGCCCUUUAAUAUAGCAGCCAAUUAUGGAGUAGUCCUACUUUUGAAUAGUGGUGGUUGCAUGUGGUUUUCAGAGUUCAGACCAAACAAACCGUGCAUGUUUGGCUUCCGGAUACGAUUUCAUUCCAUUGAUCAAUAGAGAUAAACAAAUUUUAAUAAUAUAGUCAGUACCAAAAUCAUGAAAAAAUUAUAUCAUGGUGUCUUUUUGAUUGAUGUAUAUAGAUUACAUAACAAGGACCUAGCUAUUACAUAACAAGGACCUAGCUAGCUAGCUAGGAUUACAAAACCCUAUAAACUAAUAGAUUUGUACAUGUCGGGACAUAUCACAACCACAUAUACAUAUAUAUGCACACCUACACACACAAACGGAACUUAUGGUUUUGGCCCAUUAUACUCAUCUAGUAUUUUAUAUAUAUUGCUAUCUAGAUGUAUAUAUAGGACGACAUAUAUUAAUUAAAGGGCUUGGAGAUAUACACAUAUGAUAUAGGAAUUGGGAUGGUUGUUGGUUAAAAAGGUAGCAUCAGGGAGAAGUGGAAGCUUGAGCAACCAACAACUCAGAAGCAGUCCAUAGCCUUUGAGCUUUAAGAUUGCAUGAUCCGGAUUUAGAUGUCCGGGCUUCGUUGCAGUCUGAGAAAUACUUGCCAGACACGUUCUCCAAUCUCGGACUUGUGGCCACGUAACAUGUCGUAGCUGCCGCCUGAGGAACAGACUUCAAAAGCUUGGAGGUCAAGAAAAACACUAAAUCUGUGACGAAGCCAUCUCGGUCUCUUGUGAGGCGGGUUCUCACGAUACCGGGAUGAACACAAUUGGCCGUCACAUUAGCAUCCAUUUUCUGCCAAAUAUAUAUAUAGUACAUUUAGUUAUUUGGUUUUUAGAAAAUAAAGAAAAUAAAAGGGUUGAUAAAUAUAUAUACACGAAAAGAGAGAAAAGAACGUACAUGGAGAAGACGGGAGAGCUCAAGAGUGUGGAGCACGUUGGCUAGCUUAGAGAGAGCGUAAGCUCGAGUCGCGUCGUAACUCCUAUAGUUAAAAGAGACAACACGACGCAAGUUAUACAUUAAAGCUAGCUGGUCAACAAACUAAACUAUACUAAAGUGACUCCCAAACACACAGAGAUUACUAUUUUAUUGAUUAUUCUCUCUACAAUUAUUAAAAGGGACGAGGAGGACGACGGCGUUUAUUUUUUUGUCGUCGCAUCUCACCUUUUUUAUGUGUACUUUGAUUAAUCAAAUAAUUCAUUGAUUAGUUAAUAAUUCGUACAAAUGGAAUGAUGAGAGUAUUAUUGGUUAUUAUUUGAUUGGAAUUUUAAUGAUUAGAAAAAGAAAUUGUUUAAAUAAAAGAAAAGGAAAUACCUGUAGUUGCGGGAAAUAUCGGCGAGAUAAUGCAACAUAUCACCGGAAAACCAGCUAUGGAUGACGGACGUGACGUUGACGAUACGGCCUUGAACGCCGGUGAGUGCCGCCGUUUCAAUCAUCUUCUUCAACAAUAGUUUCGUCAGCAGAAAAUGGCCUGAUUAUUUAAUCAUUGGUUAUCAAUUAAUUAGUUGUUAACAAAAUGAUCAAUGAUUAAUAUAUGUAUGUAUGUAGAGAGAAAUAUAAAGAAGUAAAAGUACCGAGAUAAUUAGUGGCGAAGGUCAUCUCCACACCGUCCUCAGAGAUGGCGUGCUUGUGCGCGUAUUUCCCGGCAUUGUUUCUAAUAUAUAUACAACACACCAAAAUUUGUUUAAUCAGCUACAUGAAAAUUACGUAACAUGACUGAUAUUUAUGUAUAUAGAAGUGUAUAAUUAAGUUAACGUACAUGAGGAUGUUGAGUGGGAGAUUAAGAGAUUCGAAGUCGGCUACGAAUCGACGAACAGAGGCGAGGGAGCUGAGAUCGAGAUGCAUAACGAUGAUCUCCGACUCCGGAAACUCCGACUGUAUCCGACCCUUCGUUUCCUCGGCGGUUUUGAUACUCCGAGCCGGAAGCACUAGCCUCGCCCCACGCUUUGCCAGAACACGCGCCGUCUCCGCUCCUAUCCCGGACGUCGCCCCUUGUAAAGACAAAGUAACAGAAGAAGAAGAAUAAGCUAGCUGCUGACAUGAUUUGUGAUAUUUGAAACAGAAAGAAUAGGUAAAACCAUACCAGUGAUGAUGGCAGUAAGAGAACGGAGAUCAGAGUUGGCAGUGACAUGAUCCGCCGUGGAUCUUGAUCCGAAUCCGCUGGGGCCACCGGACCCGAUCAGGUGUUUAACCGUCUCAACCAUCUUUUUUUUCUGUUAUGGGAGGAGAGAGAGCUAGCAGAGUAGUUGAGUUAAUGAGUGUUGGGGGGGUUUUUGUGUUGUGUCUUAGUUAGAGGGUGGGAGGCUAUUUAUAGUGCUACCGUCUUUGAGGAACUAACGGGUGAGAGAUGCGGAGAUAGGAGACAACAUUUUCCUAUGUUGUGUCAUUUUGUAAAUUUUUAUUUUUAAAAACGAGUUAAAAAUAACACCAUACGAGACGAGUGAGUGUAUAAAAAUAUAUUGUUUCUGAUUAGCACCAAAAACAGGAUAAAAAUGGAAUAAUUCGAUUAUAAUAAAAUGUUUAGUUAGCCAACUCUAUUUGACUAACAUGAAUUUUGUUGAGGAAGAUGAGUCAUAUACCAAAACUUUUAUAAUUGGAAUUGAAGGUCAUUACAAACCAUAAUCUUCCAAACUCAAAAAACAGUAAUAUAGGAAGCUCACGAAACAAAUGCAUAGAUAGUGCCAUGUUUUGGGUAACACUCACUAUUUACUAAUCAUCCCCAACCUUUCUAAUGGUAUCAUUCUCCGAAUCUUUUACAUUUUUAAUUAUGGUCCCCUCCUAAUCUCCUUUCCUUUAAAACUUCAUUAAAGAGAUGAAAAUGCUAUUAUCUCUCUCUCUCACCUAGUCACACACACACACACUCUCUCUCUAUUGAAAAGUGCAGGUUUAUCUACUGAACAUAAGAAUAUACACAACCCCCGUAUCGAAUUUUGUCUAACUAAUUACCACAUUAUAUAGUUUCUUCUCCAACCUGUUUCAUUAUCCAAGUAGAAAUAAACUUAAUUGCCCUCUUUUUCAUCUAUAGUAUGUGCUGUAUAGGGAUGACUAUUGUUACAUUAAAGUAACUCAACUCCAUUGCAUGCCUAAAUCUUAUUUCUAAGCUUGCAUGCCUAAUUUCUUGCAUGUCUAAAUCUUAUGAGACCAAUAUUCAUACCCCUAUAAGAAUCGGUUAAAUGUGAAAAGAGACAUUAUUGAGUAGCCCUAUUUAGAUCUUUCACAAUAUGUGUAGAAAGAAUCAUUUACAGGCUUACAAAUAAUAGUCCAUUUUUUGCAUGAAACAUAAAAUACAUAAGAGCUUUUACAGUUACUUUCCUUUUUUCUUUAUAAUCAAACUACGUUCCUUGAGUCUUGACUACAAAUUUCACUAUUCAACACUACUUGUAUCACUACAAUACAUAGGUUCAAUAGCUUUUUAUGAAUGUUACAAGUGCAUCUAAAACCGCUUUACUGUUAAACGAAGGUAUAAAACAAAGACUUGGUCCUCUUUUUUUUCUUUCUUAAAGUCUCUUUUAUAUAAUUUGUAUAAGUUUGUAUCAAAUUCAUCAAACAACUAGUUAAGUGAUAUGUUGGGAAUAUUCUUAAUUUUCCACCUUUAAGUAAUUUGUCUUGUAAAAUUGUAAGUGGUUGAAGCAAAAGAGAGGGUGGGGGAUUUUGGAGAAUGACACAAUAGAGUAAGCUAAUUGGUCUCUCUGUGCUUGGAGGAUCCAAUCCGUCAAUGGAUGUGAAGAAGAGAUCUUCAAGGCUGAAUAUGAAAAUCAUCAUAAAGUAUUAAUCAAUCUUUACCCAAAUCCAACUACUACCCACUAACAAUUCCACUAAUUUCGUUUUUUAUUUGUAAAAUAUAUAAUUUUAUUCUAUAAUAUGCUUCAACUCCAAACUAUAUACAUGUGUCUUAUUUGCAGGUCUAGAAUGAUCCAUCUAAUUAGUAUUAAACAAUUUCCUCUCAUAGUUAUAAGUUAUCUCACCUCAAACUCGAUAUAUAUAUAUAUAUAUAUAUUUAUGUAUACCCAUCAAGAAACAUAAAAGAAAAUAUGACUCCGCGAGGAAAUGUAAUCUAUGUAAGGUCUUAUGAUAGCUCUUUAUUAAUUCCAACUACAAAAGAAUGAUUUUACGUUUAUGUGGAUCUAUCAUAAAUAUUUUCAAUGAAUAGUCUUAAAUUACGAAAAGUUUAUAGUAUAUAAGAAAAGAGUGGUCCAACCUCCAAGGAUCAAUAAUGAAUCAAAUUUUGCAUGAUCAUACAUAUAUUAAAAAGAAAUGAUAGAAGGGACGUUGGGAUAAACGCGAAUUAGAUGAAGUGUUGUGAAUAAUAAACUAAACUCCUCCACCUUGGGAGACCUUUGUCUCUUACUAAGUAUCCCCACGCUAUAUAUGUAUUAGAUAGCAUAUAAGAAUUGGAUUGUUGGGUGAGACGUUGAAUAUAAAAUAAACUUCUUCUUUUCUUAUUAUAUAUAUUUGAUAUAUGUGAUUAAUGAAAUUAAGAAAAGAGACUCCUCCACCUUUGGAAUUGGAAGGACUUGACAAAGUUGGAAUCUUUUGCUUUAUGUUAAAACGGGUUAGGUUGUGUAAUUGGACACCAACUUGCCAAGAGUUGGUCACAUAUCCUCUUUUUCUAUUUGGCGUGCCACUAAUAUUGCUACCAUUUUUAUGUUGUUGAUAAACCAAUCAUAUAUAUUAACAGUAUUAUUCUAAGUUUUAUUGGUAGCUAGCUAAGCCUUUCGAGAACUAUUACAUAUAUUCAAAGCUACAGAAUAUGGUCCAUACAGUCUGAGAUUUUUGUAAGUGGCUCCCUGAUUCUCUUUUCUUUCAUGAAUGGUGUUACAUAUAAUGUUUCUUGACCGAUGUUCUUAAUUUAAGAAUCUAUAGAACGUCCGUUCCUUAUGUUACUACUAUCUUUGUGAUUUUUCUAGUUCGAACGAAACUUUGUGGGCAUAUAUGGUUACUUAGUUAGAUGUAUUUGCUAAUUAAUCUUUUUGAUAUUAUCAAUCUUUCUAACAACAUGCAACAUCGUGUGGUGGUCUUAAUACAAACAAUACAUCAGCAUAAAAUAGCGGUAUAUAUAAUAUGUGGAGUGUGAAACAUAUAUAAUUCUAGCCUUUGUGGUUUAGAUGUUGUUGACUAUACCUACACUUGUAACUUGUAUAGGGCACUUGUAUAGGGCGAGCGAUAUAUCCUAUAAAGCUAGCUAGUUUUUAGAAAGUAUUUCUUUAGUAAUACAGUUUUUUUUUUUUUUUUUUUUUUUGAAAUUUUGAUAUUGUGAUGUAUAAGUGUAGAUCCGUUUACGUCUUAGCACAAGAUCGUAUCUUGCUUUUUAUCAUAAAUAUAAAUAAUAUAAACCACAUUAAAUUAAAAUAAGUAAGCCACGAGUUCCAUUGAUCCAAGGCAGCCACGAGAUUCAUGAGCUAUGGAUGUGUAUGAAUCGUCAAAUUCCUAGUCAGCUUCAACCUCCUCAAUUCAAGAAAUGAAAAUCCUUCUUCAACCAUUAUAUAUACUGAAUGAAGACCUUUUAUAGUAUAUAUGAUGAGGAUUAAUUAAUAAGUGAUGAGGAAAACGAGGGCCAUUUUUAUUUAUAUUUAUAUUAAUGAGGUAUGAUGAGUAUAUUAUGAUGAAUUGAUGAUCCAGGUUCCAAAGCAUGCCUAAAAUCAGGGUUUUGACUAGAAGAAGAAAAUGAAAUCGAUGGAAUCCAAGCGACAAGUGUUUAUAGCUGAAACUGACAAUUUUAGGAGAAAUGAGUUAAAAAAAAAAGUAACGGUUGUUUUUCUUUUCUUUUCUUUUUUGGGGCUCAGAAAGAAGUCAGUUACUCUGGACGGUUUGGUUGAAGCGACUGAUCCUAAUAGGGUAGUAGUCAGUAAUAUGCAGCACGACAAAACCUUUAACAAAAAAAAAAAACCCCUGGACAGCAAUAAACCAAUCAAAGCCUAAUUUGAAGUCUUUGCCUCAGUCCUCUUUGUUUCACAUUCAUCUUAAUAAUAAUGAUCAUGACUAUGGGAGAGAAGACAUUAUACCCUCUGAACCAACUAUAAAGGUGGUUUAGUUCUGAUGAAUAAAGGAGUGUGAAGUUGAUGGGGUCAAGCAACAAGGAUAUGGAUAGGCAGGCGAAGAACAGCAAGCUGACUCCAAAUCGGUCCUUGAAGGAGACGAGGUCGAGGUUAUACAUAAUAAGGAGAUGCCUGGUCAUGCUGCUCUGUUGGAGAGAGCCUCGUGAGUAAGAAUCUUGCUUGCCGUACCGUAUGUAUGAUACUAACACAACAUUGGUAUGUAUGUAUGCUACUUAAUUAUACAGAAGAAGAAGAAGAAGAAGAGGAGCAGUGUGUAAAAUGAAACAGUAUAAUACUAUGUUCCACAUUGCUUUGAUCAAGAAAGCUUUAUGGAAGGCACGCAGAUGCUACAAAAACACUUUUACCCUGAUGAUGUCCGAUUGAUGGUGUACAACCUUGGGCACAUCCAUGCGUAGUAGUAGUAGUUAUCUUGUUUUCGUUUUAUAUAAGCCUUUUUCCACUAUGAGGGAAUCAAAGACGUCAGUCCCAAUGAAGAAAUAUUAAACUAUGUUUACAUGUAUAUGUAGAUGAAUGUAAGUAGUCAAGACCUUAAUCUUGAGAGACAUGCCUAAGCUAACUAUUAUUAAGUUGAGGGUAAAGAAAACACACUUGUAAGUUGUAACAAGAUUAUGUACACACAGCUUUAAGCAUUCCUGUGAGUAAUAAUGAUUGGCACUAUGAUAAGACUGUUUCUUUCAAUAUUCUUUGAAACCAUUUUAACUCUGUACCACACCAAAAAAAAAACACAAAAAUCAGAGGCUGACUACUUUUGGAAUUCUCAAGAUCAUCAUUUUGAAACCACGCCAUUGUUCCCCUUCUCCUCCUCCGUUGAAUUUUGUCGGACUUGUGAGCCAAUUCAAAAUUGGUUUGUUAAUUAGGCUGCUUAAUCGUAAUUAAAGUAGACCGAAACGGUGACGUUUAGUGGUACCAAAUAAUUUGGUUUGGUUCUUCCUUGUUCCUUCUUCUUCGUCCCCGGUGGUGUUUGCUUUUGGAUGCGGAGAUUGCUUGCGACUGCGAUUGCCUCAUCCACGGCGAAGAAAGCUUUCCCCAGAGUAGGAGCUGCUGCUGCUCGAGCUUUUUCUUCUUACCGAGAGAAACUGAGAGCUGGGCUUCUUCACUCCUUGAGGUUUGAAGAUGCGCUUGAUUUGUUCUUUGAGAUGGUUCAGUCCCAACCCUUACCUUCCACUGUUGAUUUCACUAGACUACUCACCGCCUUUGCCCAUAUGAAAAGGUAUGACACCGUCAUCUAUCUCUCCCAACAGAUGCAACUCUUUGGCAUCUCUCACGAUCUCUACAGCUUCACCGUUUUGUUACAUUGUAUCUGCCGAUGCUCUCGCCUCUCUCUUGCUCUCUCUCUUCUUGCCAGAAUGAUGAAACUUGGGUUUGAGCCCAGCAUUGUCACGCUCGGCUCUCUCAUCCAUGGGUUCUGUCUCCGCAAUCGGUUUGGCGAGGCCUUGUCUCUGGUUAAUUCAAUCCUCAAAUCGGGAUAUGAACCCAAUGCUGUUAUCUACAACACUCUCAUUGCUGGUCUCUGCAAGAGCGGUCAUGUGAAUUCUGCCUUGGAGGUUUUCGACCUGAUGGAAGAGCAAGGACUCCGAGGGGAUCUUGUCACCUACAACACUCUCUUAUCCGGCCUUUGUUAUUCUGGUCGAUGGAGCGAGGCCGCUCGUCUGCUGAGAGAUAUGAUGAGUAAGAGGAUUAACCCUGAUGUCAUCACUUUCACUGCACUGAUCGAUGCGUUUGUCAAACAAGGCAACCUUUCCGGGGCUCAAGAGCUUUACAAGGAGAUGAUACAAAACGCCAUCGACCCUAACCAGGUCACUUACAAUUCACUCAUCUAUGGGCUUUGCCUGCACGGUCACCUAUAUCACGCUCAAAAAACAUUUGCUCUGAUGCUAAGCAAGGGUUGCUUCCCAAACGUGGUCACCUAUAACACUCUCAUUUAUGGAUUCUGCAAGUAUAGGAUGGUUGAUUACGGGAUGAAACUCUUCCAAAGGAUGUCUCAUCAAGGAUUGCUUGGUGACGCAUUCACUUACAACAUUCUUAUCCACGGUUAUUGUAAGGUGGGCAAUCUUCGAGUUGCCCUGGAUAUAUUCAGCUGGAUGGUCUCUUGUCGAGUUACUCCCGAUAUUGUUACCCACUGCAUUUUGUUACAUGGUCUUUGUGUUAAUGGAGAGAUUGAAAACGCACUGGCGAAAUUCGAUGAUAUGCGAAGAAGUGAAACGUAUGUUGGUAUUGUUGCAUAUAACAUCAUGAUUUACGGGUUGUGCAAGGCGGAUCAAGUGGAAAAAGCUUGGGACUUAUUUUGUGGACUCCCUUUCCAGGGAGUGAAGCCUGAUGCUAGAACAUACACUACCAUGAUAUUAGGAUUGUGUAAGAAUGGGCCAAGGCGUGAAGCGGAUGAGCUGUUUAGAAAAAUGAAAGAGGAUGGGAUCAUAUGCCAGUUGAAUGGCAUUUAGGAGAGCAUGGCACAACUUAUCAAGAAUUCGGAAUUCUCAGCUAAUGUCCUACUUUUUGUUGUUGUUGUGGAACUUUGAUUGUUGUGUUGCAGUCACAUCAUAAGAGGGAUUGUGAAUUGAGUUAAUCAGGACAAGUCUGAAGUGUGUGGUGAGUGGAUGGUAAAGAAGCACUCAAGUACAAAACUCUUGCAGGGGGUAAUUUUUGGACAUGUAAAUGUAUGCAUCUAGAAAUUUGAACUGAUUUAGCAUAUUGUAUAGAAGACUUGUACAUCAUGACCCAACUCUUGAGUUAUUGAAAGUUGAAACCAUCUCAAAUUCUCAAUAUAAAUAUUGGAAAUUUGUUCUAUACCAAAAACAGUCAUCAUAUAUCCCCAAGGUACAGUAUUGUAGUGUUUAUUAUGCAUAUCUUUGGUUGUCUUAUGAGUAAUCUGAUUUGGAAUUAAAGUCUCAUAAUGGAAUUUUUUAGAUGAGAAAAAAUCAGGUGAAGUUUUGUCUAUAACAAUUGUUUUGAAACGCUGCCGUUUUGGGUAAGGAGACCUUAUUGUUUACUCAGCGACAUCUCUGAUCGCCGUAGCAAUGGUCGUCGUUGGUAGGGUUCGUCGGCGCACACAUUGAGAAAGAGAGAUUGGGAACGAAGCCAAUCCAUUUGGAUGCCGAGAUUAAUUCCGAUAGCGUCUUCGUCAACGGUGAAGGGGUUUCUCCGUCGGCAUUGUCUUCUGCUGGAGAGAGGUAACAAUCCCGAGACUUGUCCCUCGAUUUCGUCUAGACCUUUCUCUGGUGCGAGCCGUCAUCAUUACCGAGAGAGAUUGAGAAGUGAGCUUCACUCUAUUAAGUUUGAUGAUGCUUUUGGUUUGUUCUGUGACAUGCUUCAGUCUCGUCCCUUUCCUACCAUUGUUGAUUUCAGUAGAGUUUUGACUGCCAUUGCUAAGAUGCACAAGUUUGAUAUUGUCAUCUAUCUCUCUCAGAAGAUGGAACUCUUUGGAGUUUCGCACGAUCUGUAUAGCUUCACCAUUUUGAUUCAUUGUUUCUGUAGAUGCUCCCGGCUCUCUCUUGCUCUUGCUCUUCUUGGAAAGAUGCUCAAACUCGGGUUUCACCCCAGCAUUGUCACCCUUGGCUCUCUCCUCCAUGGAUUCUGUCUCCGCAACAGAUUUCAGGAGGCUCUAUCUCUCGUUGAUUCUAUGGCCGGGAUGGGAUUCCAACCUAAUGUUGUCAUCUACAACACUGUCAUUAAUGGUCUCUGCAAAAACAGAGAUUUGAAUAACGCCCUCGACAUCUUCCACGGAAUGGAGAAGAGAGGAGUCCGCGCAGAUGCUGUUACUUACAACACUCUGAUAACUUGCCUUUGUAACUCUGGUAGAUGGAGCGACGCUGCUCAGCUUCUCAGAGAUAUGGUGAAGAGGAAUAUCCAUCCUAAUGUAGUCCUUUUCAGUGCGCUGAUCGAUGCAUUUGUCAAGGAGGGUAACCUUUUGGAGGCUAAAAACUUGUACAAGGAGAUGAUCCGAAGAUCUUUAGAUCCUAAUAUUUGCACUUACAAUUCCAUCAUCAACGGGUUUUGCAUUCACGGCCGCCUACGUGACGCCAAACAUAUGUUUGAUCUGAUGGUAAGCAAGGGCUGCGUCCCGGAUGUGGUGACCUAUAAUACUCUCAUAAAAGGAUUUUGCAAGUCUAAGAGGGUAGAAGAUGGGAUGAAGCUCUUUUGUGAGAUGACUCAUCAAGGAUUGGUAGGCGAUGCAUUCACUUACAACAAUCUUAUCUAUGGUUAUUGUCAAGCGGGCAAACUUAAUGUUGCCCAAAAGGUUUUCAAUCGGAUGGUUGAUUGUGGUGUGCCUCCUGAUAUUGUCACCUACAACAUUUUGUUAGAUUGUCUAUGUAGUAACGGGAAGAUAGAGAAAGCAUUGGUUAUGGUAGAGGAUCUACAAAAGAGUGAAAUGGAUGUUGAUAUUAUUACAUAUAAUAUCAUCAUUCAAGGGAUGUGUAGAACUGAUAAGGUGAAAGAGGCUUGGUGUUUAUUUCGUAGCCUCAAGCUCAAAGGAGUGAAGCCUGAUGCUAUAGCAUACAUUACAAUGAUAUCAGGGUUGUGUAGGAAAGGCCUACGGCGUGAAGCGGACAAACUGUGUAGAAGAAUGAAAGAAGAUGGGUUUAUGCCAAGUGAACGCAUAAAUAGUGAGGCACUUAGAGAUCACUACACAAGCUUAUCAGCUGAACUCAUUAAAGCAAAUCAUGAGUAAAGCGGUCUGUGCAGAUGCUUAUGACAAUAAAAUCAAGGCCAUCAAUAUGUUAUUUUGAUGGGAGACUGGACAAACUUCAAAGUUAUGUACCAACUCCAAAGCCAUUUUGUUGAUUGCCUUUGGGAAAGUUAAAAAGUCUGGUGGGAAAAGAAGCUCUAGCGCAUAGAUAAGUAGUCGUGUACAUGUUGUAUCUUUCAUAAGCACAUUUGUUGCAUAUACAUACAAACACAAUGAUUUUUACCAGUUGUGAAAUCUGUAUGCUUGUAUUUGAUAAUCCCAAAUAACAAAAUACGAAUUUUAACCUCCACCUUGUGUUAUAAUCUCUUAUACGCAAUCAAGUUUCACUGUUAAGCAUGCCUGUUAUAAUGAUGCCAUCAAGUGAAGUGUAAGCCCUUUUAAGUAGUCCAUACAUUUUUGAAUACAAGUCAGGCCAAAUAACAAUACAAAGUGGUCCUUAAUCUUCUAUUUGAUCCCAAAAAAAAACAAAAAAAAACUUCUAUUUGACAUUCCAAUUUUUCUCUGUUAUACAAAAUGGAUCCAACAAGGAGAAAACUACAGUAAGACAACUGGAAGCUUCCAUAUUUUGAAACUGAGAUCUCCAUCUGAGAUACAUACUCUUUGUAGUUGAGCUUACUCUUCUAUUUACCAAGACCCUCCAUCACUCUACUGCACUUGAAUCAUCCCAUCUCACUGGGGCAAUGCUCGAUGCCAAAUAACCAGAAGCGCGGGCCUGAUUCAAUCAUUUCUUCCCUCCCAGCUCAUUCUUCUCCUUCCUGAUCACUCUAUAAUUGAUCUCUUCCCUGCCAAUUAAAAUAAAUAAAAAUAGAUUCUUUAUUAUACGCAAAAAGAUGAAAUGGGUUUCCUCAGAACUAAAGAGUUUCGGAAAAAAGUCUAAAUGUGACAACACCUAGUAGCAACCGCGACUGUGUCACAUAAAUGAUAGUAUACUACCAGAAUACGAACUAUCUAUCUUUCUUUCUUUAAACUAUACAAAUAUUUACUCUUUGAUUAGUGAGAGAUAAAUUGAUUCCCAGUUCUCUCGCACAGCUGAUACAAAAUAUCUACAGAAUAAUAAUGCACUCGUAGUAAGAAUCCCCUAAGCAAAUAGAUAUCUCAAAAAAAGAAAUGGCUGACCUGAUCAGACCAAGCUGAAAUGUCUUUCUUCUGCGUCAUGCACUUCUCAUCUCUGCACUCUGCGUUGUAUUUGCGGUUCUAAUGGAAGUGACCAAACCUCGUUAAAAGCAAACUCCAUGGCUGCCAUAACCUCCAAGAAGGUAUACACAAACAACACAGCUCUCCAGAUUGGCAUAAUAUGAUAUCUCUGAACCUGGAAGCAACUUUUAGGAGUGGAGAAAAGCUAAUCAUUUGUAGCUGGGUCAAGAAGUUUCUCAGGUUGUCUCACUACUUGGGCUUGUUUCCGCCUGCCCACCACACUUCUUGGGUUUCUUCACUAGAGGGAAGGCAAGAGGACCCAGUCUUAACCGAGCAACACCUGCUUCUUCCUUUAAUUCUGCAUCUCUGCUCUUCACUGGUGUCCUUUUUUUGCGUGAUAUACUAGGACCAUAUUGUGCAAUGGUCACUUCAUUUGCAAGCUCUGUCUUCUCGAUGUCCUUAAAAUUACUGCUUAUGCGACGACUACUCGGAUCCAAACUCAACCAAGGACUGUUUGGAGAAUCCUUGCCUAGUUCUUUGCCAGAAUCAACAUCUGUUGAUGCUAUUUCUACCACAGAGCUACUGUUAUCCUGUGAAAGUGUGAGUGGAAAAGUUAAUCACCAAGACCAUUUACAAGUCACAGAAACACACAAGAAAGACAAAAUCUAUAUAUCUAGUGGAAAUUAGGAUCCACAUAUAUUUAUAUCCUAUUGUCACACAAUGGCGAAAGUCGAGAGCAAAUAAAUUAACUGCGAAAAGAACCGCAACUUACUUUAUCUUGAAUUUCAAUGAUUUCUUCGCAUUCUGAGCCUUCUUCUCCUUCAGAAUCAGCCAUCUCUUCACACUCAAACUCAACAUGUUCUUCUUCCAUCAUCUCUUCCUCAGAGUCACUUAAUUCCUCCUGUUCCAUCACUAUACCUAGAUUAGACUGAUCAGCCAUCUCGUCAAUGCAUCUACUAAUAUUAUCACUUGGUGCAGUUGAUCCAGGCACUUCAGAGCCGUCGUUACGUUGAGUCAUGCAGAUGUCUGGAGCUUCUGAAAUAUUUGCUGCACUACCACAAUUGUUUGCCUUAGAAGAGCUCGAGCUUAGAUAGAUAUCUAAGUUCACAUUUUUACCAUGUUUGGUAGAGCUUAAAGGUUUCAAGCUGACAUCAUUAUGACCAGCACCAGGGAUUGAAGUGUGCUCAACAGUAUCCUGAAGUUGACAUAAUUUGUUUUUCUUGCCAAUGUCUGGGACUAAGUUCCCACGUCUACUAGUAAGAUAACUCUUUUCAUACUCAGUUCUUUGAAGAAGAGGAUGAAAACAGCUGUCGCCCUGUGGUGUCUCAUGUUCGUUUGAUGAUGAAUUUUUGGGGAGCUGAUCAGCUGAGUGAUUGAUUUGUUUUGAACUGUUGAAAAGACUUAGCAGCUGAGGUCGAUUGUCAGAAAAGAAACUAAAACUAGAACCCCCUGGGUCUCUGUUUGGAGGGAAACAUGUAAUCUGUCCUUUCUCAGGGGUACGGAACAGUAAAGGAUGCAUUUGUAGAUCUGAAUUACUCUGCUCGCCCAUCCCAGAGGAUCUCUCUGGAGGCACAUCUUCCUGCAAAUCUACCACUUUCUCGCUACCGGGACCGUUGUUAUCCCCGUCAGAUGAAAAGCAAGGAGGUUCAAUACCCAAAUUUUCCCUCCCAGAAACAUUAGACAUGCCAUCCUUACUGAUACAAGUUUUGGAGGAUGUUUCAGUCUGAUUCUUCGCAAAUACUGACUGCGAGAUGACACGGACCGAAGAUGGAAGGUUAAGGGGAGGCAAAUCAGGGGCUAGUCUCACAACACUUCUGUUGCAUAGUUUUCGAGUACGAUAUGGUCGCAUAAUUAUAGAUGCUCUUGAGGCAUUGGGUGCUGUACCAGAUGUGUGUUGGUACAGAGGAAUGAAGGAAGGUGCAAGCCUCUGCGUACAUGUCAGAAUUUGGCCACCACAAAGAUCAGGAUUUUUGGAUCCUUCAACGGUACAUGUUUGUAAUGACUCCUGUCGAUCACCGGGAACAUUCUUUGCCUUGUCAAAGGAGUGCAUAGAUGCAGAAUAAAAGAGAGUUGGCAUGCCAGGCCUCCAAUCUGCUAAAAAUCCUUCAUGUAGGUAUGCCUCACCUGAACUUUCGACCAAUUCAUCUCCAACAUGAUAUUCAUUGGCUUUAGAAGCACCAUGAUGACCCUGCAACAUGUGAUGAAAGAUGAACAAAGCUAAAUUACAUAUUUUUACGAGAAAACCAAAAUUAACAUAUUCAGUAUGGAUGAGUAGUAUGAUUUAAGAGGUAACCACAUAUAUGAAAGACAGACCUCUUUUACAGAUGCCUGCUGCUCUCUGGACUUUCUUUUUGUAUCAUAAAGUCUCCGCUUUUCCUUCUUUACAGCAUCUAGCUUAUAUGAUUUCUGAAUUCCAAGGGCAGUGCGCAAUUGCCGUGGCAGUGUGGUUGGGUCUCGAUAAGGCACGACAAAUUUCCAUACAGACAUCCAAUCAUAUUUGAAGUACUUAAGCCCCUGAGGAUUCAAUUUAUACUGAGCACCCAAACACCAUUUCCAAUAAGAAUUGCAAGAGAAUGCACUUGUCAGGUUACCUCUUGUAUACGUACUAUCUCUUGUGGAGUCAGGGGAGAGCUUUUCAUCCUCAAAACUGCCUGUGGGUGACAAAAUUUACACAUACACACCAGUUAGGAGAAAAUCUGCAUGACCUUAAAAUUAUGGCUGGAACAUCUUAUUAGGGACAGAAUAAAACACAUUCGUCUUUUGCCAUCAGUUGGAGUCCAUCUUAAACAUGUAAUGCUCAUUUGCAUAACGUAUGUUCGGUAUAAAAGCAUACAAGAUGGUCAUCCAACGUUCUCAUUUAUGACAAUGAGUUCGUAAUCAGAUUUCUUUUAUGUGCAUGAUAUAACCCAUAUAUAUGUAAUGGUUUCACAGUGUUUAUAUGCUAGCAAACAAGUUCAGACCACUGAAUUUACGGAUUCUAUAGCCAGACAGAGAAGUAUACAAAUAAAAAGGUGAUAAACUAAAUCAAGCAUAUAACAGACCUUAAUUGGAUUCUCUGGGGCUUUAGAUGAUCUCCGGUUUUUCUGCCUAACAUAAAUCUGAAACAAAUACAAGUCGGACAUAUUAGAAGACAUGAAAGUCUUUUAUUUCUUUAUCAUCAGACUGGUUGACAUGAAAGCAGAAGAAUGACAGACUACAUCAUUUGCAACAGGACAUGAGUCGACGUGAAGUCUUAAUAUCUUCAUAUUUAUCUAAAUACUUCACAGGUUGUGUUCAUAUAGCACUUACAAGAACUAAGAUAAUGAGAGCAAUCUAAUCAAUACCAACUGAUUACUUCGUAACCCAAUGACCAUUCCUAGAUCUGCAGAAAUUCAGUGAUGAUUACCUGAUGCUCGCCUUUACAUGGAAGAAACCGCUGCUUUAUUGUCUUCCAGUCUGAGUUAUAUUCCAUUAUUCCAAGAGCCAGUAAUCUGCGUUGAAGCAGCACAAGAACUAAAUUUCCGAGUACAUUAGUAGAUUAGACAAAAAUAAAAAGGGAAUGGAACUUACUCAUCUUCAGCAUCAGUGAAAAGGACCCGAUUGGCGACAGCUGCAUGAGGUGGCUUGUGGGGAUACAGAGAUACUUUGAACAACGGCAAAAACCUUUUAGCUAACUUGGCGAUAUCCUUGUGGACCAAGGCAACAGAUUGCUUCUGGGCUGACUCAACAAGUGUAGCAGCUAACGUCUUCUUAGAUUGCUGCUGACCUGAUGGUGACUUACUUGAAAUAGGGGAUAAACGAGGAUUGUUUAUGAUCUCACCACCAACUUCUUGGUGAGGAAGUGUAAAUAAUGGCACUCUUUGAGACGAAGGAUCAAAACCGGAUUCCACUUGAGAGCGUCGGUAAUCUUGAACAGCUACAAUGGUUCAAUAAUCAAGAGAAAUUAUAUUGCAUAAACAGGUAAGAAACAUAGAGAAUAUAUCACCCUACUUUUGAACCAAUAACAUACCGUCAGAAACAUCAACUAGAUAUCUUCCAGCUAGAUCGACAACAUCCAGAACCGAUGAUGCGGAACCAGAGAGAAGAAGAUGACUUGGGCGUGAAAUAUAUCCUUGGUGUUGAUUGAGCAUCUCAGAUAGAAGUCCUUGGACUUGGGUCCCAAUGUGCUGCCGCGAAUGAUCAAGGGCACAAAGAGAGUACACUUGGAUAAGAAGUUGAAGGUGAUCCUGAAUCAAACAAUGCAGUUCUCCCAUUUGGGCUUGACUGAAGCCAUUAAUUGUCCUGUUUCCUGAUGAAUCCACUGCUUCAGUAGCAGAAAACCUUCCAGCAGGUGGGGCAAUGGGUAAGAUAGGUACAAGAGGGCGUAAUAAUCUGCCAGCCUGUUCAGGAGAAUUGUUAUUGUGGUGAGAGGAGAUGUUUUGCUGUCUCUUCUGCCUAGUCACGGGGCGUCUCUUAGUGGUUUUGUUGUCACCUGUUGUGACCUUUUCCGGAAUAAUUUCCUCGUCAUCAGUCUCGAGUGCUUCCUCAAGUUCGAUCUCGAAGUCUAAAUCGUUAUCCUCAUCAUCGUCGUCGUCAUCAUUAGUUCCACUCUGUGCCAAGGGAACCUCAGUAUCACCACUAUGUAAAACAGCAGCCAGAAACUUGCGGUAUUCUUCCUCAUCAUCGACAUUUGGAAUAUCAUCCUCAUCAUCGGUCUCCUGGAGAAAAGCCUCAAGAUCAUCAAGGGUGAAGCUGGCAAGGGAAUAGCGAGCUCUAGUCCGCUUGCAGAUUGCAUCCUCCUCCUCCUCAGUUGAGGUAAUACCUUGCUUCUGAGUUUGGAUCACGCCACACAAUUGUUGUCCGUUAUCAUUUGGCUCUACAGUCCUCUCAUCAUUGGAACUUGGCUCAAAGCCAGCCCGUCCUCCGGGAUCAAGAGAGUCCUGAGGGAUUGGUUCUUGGCUGGGCGUGGCGAUUUCGUGCAUUGCUUGGCUGCCCUCUAAGGUUUGGGAAACAGUGCUAUUGACAAUUUCACCAUCAAGAGUCUCAACUUCAGAGCUCAAACUGGAAGAAGCUUCACGGGAAGGAGUAUCCUUGAGGAAAGGAUUGAAAUCAACAUCUUCCUCCUCGUCAUACUCGCACUCUGCUUCUUCUUCUUCAUCUUCCUCUUCGUCAUCCGCAUCAGAUGAAGCAGCAUCUACGUGGAGGGACGACGGUUCAGAGAUGGGAGGUCCUGAUAUUAGGGCUUCCAAUUGAUCCAACGAUUUCAUGACUAAAUUAGGGUUCCGCUAUCUAACCAUGACAACAAUUGGAGCAAAUUCUCAGACCACAACGGAACCAAUUCAAUGUAAUAUAAUAAGAUCAAUCUCCUAAACACCUGAUUCCUUCGAUAGACACAAGCAAGAACCUUAAAAGGAGCUACAGUUUAGAGCAAAACCGCAAGAGAAGGAUUGAAGAAAACGUGACUGGGAAGAAUGGAUUAAUAAUAAUAAUAAUAAGGAUUGGGAGAGAGAGAGAGAGAGCUCUGUCUCUUCUCUUUUUCGGAAGACGAACAAACAAACCAGUCGGGUCGGGUCGGUUGAGCGAGAGACCUUUUUUUCUCUUUUAUUAAUUUGUUUCUAUUACUACAUUAAUAUCAUCUUGUUUAUUAUUAUUUACUUACGUUAAUCCAAAUAAGUUUUGAGUUAAACAUUUGGGCUUUACCAUGAGGAAAAACAUUUGGGAUUUACCAUGAGAAAAAACAUUUGGGCUUUACCAUUUCAAUUUUACCUAAAAUAACAGUUAAUUCUUUUUUACGGAUGACGAUUGGAUCAGUAAAGUGGACAUUGUCAUUGGAUGGAUAUGAUAACUUUCUUUCUUUCUUGUUUCAACUCCAUCCGUCCAUCCGUAUGCUCUUACUAUACCAAACACAGUAAUAAGUUUCAAGUAAAGUCCUUUAAACACAAAAGCAAAAUAUAAUCUCCAGGCAAAGAAGACGACUGCACUGCUGUCUCGUAUUUGAGGUUUUAUAUAAUAAAACGCAACAUGGAUUUGGGUAAAUUAUAAUAAAUGCAGCGCAGCUUAAGUUGAAGAUUGGAGAAGUUUCUUGUAGUCAUGGAAGGUUCCAUGGAAUGGUGCAAUCCUGCCGUCUGACACUACCCACAGCUCAUCCACACUUCCCGAUAUUAGAUGCUCGUCGUGACUCACCUGCAUAAACAACCAACAAAUAUUGAUUGCUUCUUCGUCUAUGAAUCAAUAAACCUGAACCGAUGAUUUGUCUACUGGACAAGGAUUGAGAGAGAGUACCAUGCAAAUACCGCCUUGGAAUAAGACUAGUCCUUGGAUCAACGCUUCCACAGCAUCCAGAUCCUGAGAAUUUUUAACAUUCCUACUUUUAGCAAACUGUAAUCCUUCCUUAUUUAAGAAGAUGCAUAAAAUAUAAAUAUAUGUAGCUUACAAGAUGAUUGGACGGCUCAUCAAGCAAUAGCAAGUGAGGUUUCUUGAAUGUUAUCUUCGCAAAUGCAACUCUGCUUUUCUGACCACCUAAUUUCCCAUUCACAUCCAAAAACAUUAGUGAACCGUAACAAAUCACUAUCGCCACAACACAUAAUUAAAAUAGUUCUAGUUUCGUUCUAGGGCUUGCAUCUACAAUUUUGUGGUUAUAGAACUCCAAACACCUAAAGAUACCUGAUAAAGUGUACAUGGGCUGCAGGGCAAGAUUUCCAGUAACCCCAAGAGAACCCAAGUGACUUCUGAGUUUUUGUUCCGGUACUCCCUGCAACAUCAAUCAAAUACAAGUUAAGACAUCUUGCCAAGCCGAGGGCUUGUAGAUUUUUCGCUAACUGAAAUUGUGCUUGUAACUUGUAAGAAGCAAAGAAAUAGACAAUACUGUAAACACUAAUUAAACACCAAUAUAUGAAACAUUUUUAACUCGAUUACAAUCUCAUGUUAAUUGAAACAUAAACAAAAAGAGGGAUAUUACGAGUGUGGGAACUUACUGGAUAGCAGCGCAUCAUAUAUAGGAGAGGAUUCGAAGAAAGGUCUAGCCCAUCCACAUGAUGCUGACUAAAGACAGCAACUCGAACCUGCAAAGGAUAUCAAUACACCAUAUCAGAACCACCAAACUAAGCAUUCACACUUAACAGAGCAGAAAAACAAGCAAUCAGAAUUCUAGGUAAUGAAACCUUAAGAUUUAAUAAUAUCAUUGUCAAAAAAAAAAUUCAAAAAUCAAAUGCUUAUUUAAGAGCCCAACUUCUUGAACCUAAAAGGGGUCAUCUCAUAUGAUCCUGAGGGACAAUAUUCAAUUUGUUGUUUAGGUAAAAGAGUAGUCUUCUGCCAUACCUUAGCAGAACGGAAAACUGUUCCAGAGCUUGGUUGCAGGUCCCCGGAAAUAAGUUUGAGUAUAGUUGAUUUACCAAUACCAUUGGGUCCCACCACUGCAACGAGAAAACCAUAUAUAGAGAUUAAAAUGUUGGGAAGAAUCGUAACAAAAAAUUACGUUCUACAUGUUUUUUGAUGCUGUGCGUAUUGGUAUCCACAUAUGAUAGAUGAAGAUUUAUAAACAUGUGUAAUCUGUGAGAUCUCAUAAUCAAGGGAAAGGGGAGCUUUCUUACUUGCAAUACGGCUGUCCAGAUCUAUUCCGAAGUUUAGGUUCCUAAACAACAACGGACCACCAGGGUAGCCAAAUGAUGCAUCACUGUAGAAAGAACGAGCAAAGAAAUUUAGCAUGUUGAUUCUGCAUCCUCCUCAUACCAAAAUUAUAGAAGUUUCUGUCAGAUUCACACAGCUGGUUUCUGGAAGUUGACAAACCUAAAACUGAUAAUGGGAGGUCCAGGCUUAUCGUCAGGAGUUGGGAAUUCAAAUUUGUAGCUGCAAGAGAAAGACAAUAGGUCAAUGUAUAAAAGGCAGAAGCUGAGAGUAUAUAUAUAAGAGGGGCUUGCUUACUCAGGAUCAUUAAUAACUUGAUCCACAUGAGCCAGUCGGUCCAAUGCCUGAAUCAUAGACACAAUAAUAUUAGAGCAUCGCUGAACGCCAACAUUUAAUCACAUAAAUAGGUGUAACUGUUGACACCUUGAUUCGUGACUGAACAAGAGACGCCCUCUUUGCAUUGUAACGAAAUUUAUCAAUGAACGCCUGUAGCAGAAAACAAGAUAUCAAGCAUCAAACUGAAAUCCCCAUGUUGGAAUACUGUUAAAAAAACAGGGACGAGUUGAAAACAGAAUUCAUGAGUUCAUUUUUCCAAAAAAAAUAGAAAAGAAACCUGCAUAUGUGACCGUGAUCGUUCACUUGAUUCAAAAGCCUUUUGCUGAUUUUUCACUUGUUCUUCCCGUGUUCUUUCGAAAAUAUCAUAAUUACCCUUAUAGGUACUUAGUUUUUGGUUUUGCAAAUGAAUGAUGUCCGUGACCACCUGCAGCCAAAAACAAGUAUUACACAUGUCCAGAGAUAUUUGGGAAAUAAUAACAGCAUGGAGAUCAAUAGAGAAAAAGUACCGUGUUCAAGAAUUCCCUAGCAUGGGAAACAACUAUAAAUGUUUUUGGCCACUUCGUUAGAUAUGUUUCUAACCAUAAGACAGCAUGGAGAUCAAGAUGGUUCUACCAAAGAGAGGAAAUGAAUGUCAGAACUCAGAAAUCUGAAAACAAAAAGGAUAGAUUGAUCUAAUAAGGGAAACUUUAUAAAGAAAACACACCGUAGGUUCAUCAAGCAACAACAAAUCAGGCUCUAUAAAUAGAGCACGAGCAAGUGCAAUUCGCAUCCUCCAACCUCCCGAAAAAGUAUUUGUAGCUUUCUUCUGCAUUUCUGGAGUGAAACUUAAACCCUGAAAAUGACGUAGAGAGCGACAUUUGCAAGUUAGCAGACUCAGAAGUUGGAGGCAGGAAAAGCACAUGAAGAUUUUAACAGGAGAGAGGACCCAAAUCUAGCAAUUUGUAUGCAUUAUGUAGUGAUGGGUCACGACUUGCGUCCAGAUAUGCAUACCCUUGAGUCCAGAUAUGCAUAACCACUUAUUUAUAUCUAUACUCUCAAACGGAAACUCUAAAGGGCUUCAGAAUAUUUAUAAUGGUAAAGAGAAACUUACAGCAAGGAUACUAGCUGCCCGAGCCUCAGCAGUAUAAGCAUCAAUUGCGUCAAGCCUUUUGUAUAUUUCUUCAAGUCUUUGAGACAUAAGAUCUGCUUCAAUGGUGUCUUUGGUAGGCAUUCCAUCCUUAGCUGUGGGUUCUUCCAUUUCUCUCUUCAGAUAACCCAACAAGAGUCAACAUUACCACCAAAGACAGAUGAUACGAAAAGACAAAACACCUGAAUGAGUAAAUACUAAUUCUUAUAAGUAAACAAGCUUGAUCUAACCUGCUUUGCCAGUAUUUGAAUCUCUUCUUCUAACAGCUUGGUUCUUUCAACAUCAGUGUUAAGAACACAUUGUAAGGCUGUCGUCUUGUCACCGACCACUUCUUGUUCGACAUGCAAUAUCUGGCAAUUAGUAGGGAUGCCCUCUAUAGCGUGCAUAGCCAUAUACCUCAAAAAGGUUGUUUUUCCGGUACCAUUACGUCCUACAAGACCUGUAGAGUAAUCCAAAGAGAACAAAUUCCCAUUUGUAAGCUAGAAUUCUCUUCCCAUCUAUUCCUUGGAUUAAACUGACAGCUAAAAUAAAUAAUACCGAAGAUCAAACCUACCGUAAUGGCGUCCAAAAGAGAGGGUAAUUGAUCCAUCCACAAUGAGAUCACGGCCUCCAACAGAAACAUUAAAGUUAUCCAUAUGAAUAUCUCUGAUAGCAGAGCCACCACCAGUGUCAUGAUUGACACUUACAGUAGGCAUCCCUGCUUUAGCGGCUUCCAUUUCAGCAACAUGCUGUUGAUAUUGUAGCUGCGAAAACAAAAAAAAAACUAGUAAAUCACACAAUAAAACCAAAAUCUAAACAAAUAAAAAGGAAGCAGUCAUUAUUCUAUACCUCUCUUUGGCGAUCAUCCUUUUUCUUUCUCCUCUCGAUCUUAGCUAAGUCACGUUCUGUGAGCAAAGGCCCAUCCACAGGCUCUGGCUUCUUCUUCUUAACGGGUCCAUCAUCCAUUCCAUCGUUCAUCCUUACAGGCAUCGCAAGACUCCUCACGGUUGGUGUAGGCUUCACCAAUCCAUGCUUUCCAAACUUAUCCGACAGUUUGCUACAAACCUACACACCACAUUCUCCCAGUUACAAACGCAGCAUUUCUUUAUGUGACUAUCUCAGCUCAUUCAAAAGUGAGACCCUAUUCGGUAAUUCUUGAAACCAUUUCAACACAGAUAUAAGUUCCCCACUCACAGAGACCCUAAAGAAAUAUCCCAAAACACACACACAGCAAAGAUAAAACGAAUCUCAGAUGAUACAACAAUUGAACUGAAGAAGGCCAAGCUCCGAUGAUUUGCUUACCAAACGGCACUCGUCGAAAUCAGAAACGCAUUCAGCAGCGACGAGGAGCUCACCAACGGCAUCAAAGGCACCUUCACCUUCCUCACCGAAGUCGAAAUCCUCAUCGGCGAGGACAUUGAUGAUGUAGUCCAUGAUCGGCUCGUCCACAUCCUGAGCUCUGCGUCCGAGCACUUCAUAGACAACCGAGCUCGCAACUUCAGUCAUGGCGAAACACAGAAGCCAGAGGAUUACAAUUGCAGCAAUUCCACAAGUGAUUUUGAUAUCUCUCUCUCGAAGAAGAAGAAGAAGAAGAAGAGCGGAGGGCGAACCUUUUUUGGUUUUAGGGCUAUUUGGAACCUUCUGGCUCAGACAGAGAGUACACUGAAAAAGUGGACUAAACCAAUCAUAUGAUUUAUUCCGGUACACCUUGUUCCUCUUUUAAGUCUUAAAUCUUAACAUUGGUUUAGUGCCAUUGUGAAAUCAUUCAUGUUUGAGAGCGAUACAGUAAGAUUAGCCAUUUUUGGAUUACAAAAACUAGACAGACCUCUUUAGCUCUCUUAAUUGUUUUCGCCGAUCAAAAAUUUAAAACAAGUAAAAAGUGUCAUAUAUAUAUAUAUAUAUAUAUAUAUAUAUACAUAUAUAUUUGUUACUAAUUGACAAACUCAAGUUUUUAUAACAAUUGUUUGUAAAUCUCUUUGACAUCACCAUGAAAGUCUCAGCCACACACAACGACAAUGAAUGAGAGACAUGAGAGAGCGAGCUAUCAACUGAACUGGAUAUAUGUUGGACAUGAUGAAGCUCUAUGAAGAGUCCUUAGAUUGGCAGGCUAGCAAGUGAUUGUUGUUGAUGUCCUUCUCAACACCAAUUCUCACAGUUUCAAGACACAAUUGACACUUUCUCUCGGUGCGGGGAACAUGCCCUUCAAGAAAAUUGUUCGAUCGGAUAGUAGUGUGAGUUUAACCAAUGCAUUGUAUUUCUCGACAAGAUCCAUUUUAAAUGAAUGCAGCUUCUUAAUGGCUCAGUUACAGCUAGCCUCAUUGAAUUGUUUUGUUGUUCAGCCAAAUCAAGUAUUUGAUAAGAUCGAAUCAUUUUUGGAAUAUGAGUGAGUGCUUGUGAGUACAAAAAAGAAAAGACGACGACGAAUAAUUAGGCUGGCUUUAUAUAUAUAUAUAUAUAUAUGUAUGUGGGUUUGGUAAAGGUUUUGAAAGAGAGAUUACAAUCAUAUAUAUAUAUAAACAAAAGGGAGAGAUACGAAUCACACUUAACUUUUAUUAGAGGAAUAUAAAUCAGAUCAAAAUUGGUACGUACAAUAUAUAUAUAUAUAUAUAUAUGGUGCUCUUCUCCAUUAUCUCUCACUGCCACCAUUCUAACCAGCAUCCCCUUAUAAUGGAGAAAGGUGACAAAAGAGGAUCCAUAGUGCACCAAGCUAGUUGACUUUUGAUUAUGUGUUUCUCAUUCAUUUGUUGAAAAAUAAACUAUUACAUCUUAUUUUAUGUGUAACUAAUUGUAAUAUUCCUCUAUAACUUUGCAAUAAUAAUUAUUAAUUUAUCCAUAGCUUUUGAUUGUGUUUCCAAAAUGAAUAACAUGUACGUUUAGUCACAGUGUCAUCUCCUCCACGUCUUAUUUGCUUCUAUAUAACCCAUCUCAUAUGCCUCUAUAAAAUCCCACAAUUUUUUUAUGUCUUGCAGAUCUUAAUAUUAAGCUGUCAAAGAAACAAAUAAUCAAACAUGAGACGAUAUAAUACAAAAGAAUUCGUAUUUCUCAUUGUUGUUCUUAUUUUCACAAUCACCUCCGCUCAUGUUACUGACGCUACUCCUCGUCAUUUUGUGAUUCUCGGGUCGAACAAGGUAUGUAAUUAAUUACUCAAUUUCUUAUAUAUGAUCAUAUGAUUCGUGUUAUCGUGUACUGCCGAAUUCAUAAGUUGCUAUCUGCUAUCAAAUGGAAUUAAGGAAUGGAAUAUAACUCUCACACACACACAUAUAUAUGAACAUGCAUGCAUGCAUCGUUAAUUAUAUUAUCUUACUAAUUUUUCAUGCCAAUUUUCUACACUCUAUCAUGAUAAUUGGUAAGUUUUAAACAUGGAAUUAUAUGAAAUUUUAAUGUGAAUGAAAAAAAAGGGUGUUGACAUUAAGGAGAGUACUGGUGAAAUAAAGGAGAGAGAGCUUGUGGAGUUUCAUCUAGACUAUGGAAGAACCGGAGCCAAUCAAGAUCAUGAACCAGGGAAAGGAAGACCUUAAAACAACUUCACUACUCACUCAUUUGGAUAUUAUGAUUAGUUUCAUUUCACCACACCAUAAAACAACUUCACUGAGUGCUCAGUUACAUAUAUAUUUAUUUACCAAUAAGCUUUUUUACCUGUAAAAUAUCAUACUUACUAUUUAUUUAUUUUGGUUAGAAUCGUUUGAGGUAAAAUAUCAAUAUUUAACGUUAUAUACGUUUGCAUGCAUCAUUGAUAUAAGUUUUUAUCAUGUAAUAUAGUACUGAUUUAAGUCAUUGACAUUAAAAUGUCAACUUAAAUAUUGUAAAUUCAUUGUUGUUUGUUGUUGUUGUUUUUUUUCUUUCUCGUUUGUGUAAUCGUAUAUCUUUUACUCCAACGAUGACAAAUCAAUUAUCAAUACAUUAUAAAAAAAAUAGUUUAAAAUAACUAAUUGGUUAUGAAACGUGCAUAACUGUGUGUAUCUGACGUCCAUCAAAUUGGUUAUUCGCCUAUAUAUAUUACUCUUGAUUUUAAAAAUUAAUUCAGUGUAAAUAACACAAGCAGGUCACUAUGCAAGUAAUAAUAAUAUUUCUAUUUUUAUGUUUAUUCUUCCAAUCAACAUCUAUUGAUGUGGAGACGUAUGCUCUUUAUACAUCUCAAAAAACACAUUGAAUACUAAAACUCUUCUGCUAAGAAAAAGGAAGACUUGUUCCAAGAAAACAAAACUCUCAGUUGUAUACAAGUGAUGCAUUGUCAUAAGCACAUCAUAUUUUCCUCUGAGCUUUCGCAUGAGCUCCCAAAGUUUAGCGUCACGUCAUGUACUGACAGCCUCAGUGUGUUUGCUUUCGCUGCAGACGUCUCAAGGCACUCACUCAGGUCUGCAUCACACGACACCGAGACCCACUCGCUGUCGUCGUCUAGAUACUUGAGCUCAAACGCUGCCAUGUCGAGCUUCAGCCUCUUGGCCACUUGCUGCUUAAGUUCCAUUAUGCUUACCGACUCUGCUGAUAUCUUGAACCUGAUGAUGUCUUCUCUGUACGUUGCCUUUAUACUCACAAGCUUAUUGUGGAGUGUUGUUGGAGAUGCUGUAUCUUGGCAGCUUAAGUGUGUCCAAAAAUUAGCUAUGUUUUUAGAGCUACUGUCCGAAUCGUCCAAGGCCGUCUGCCUGGGUGUUUCUUGGUUGUGUGUUGGAAGCCGAAAACGUGUCUCGGAUAUAGGACCCACUGUGGAACACGAGACUGAUGAGAACUACGGUGAUGGAUCUUGAAAUUUUGCAGUAGAAUACAUGUAGCUAGAUGAUGAUGAUGAAAGGCUUUUACUUUACCUUUGCAAGAAGCACGCGAUGUUGAUGACCCUGCACUGUCUUCUGCAUCUCUGUUUUCAAUCUUGACAUCUUGGAGAUAACUUGGGGGAGAUGUAGAAGCUGGAGGGAAGUUCUUUGCUGGUUGGUUUUCGAUUGGAGAUAUUUGACGAGACCAAGGGCGAGGGGAGAGGGAGGUUAAAUUGAGUGAUCCAUCAGCACCUUGAACUGAGUCUAUAACAUGUUUAAGUCGUGUGAGAGAUCGGUUCACCUUGUUGAUUUUGCGAGAUGGCCACCGUGAGAUCCCGUGUUGUCGACAAAUACGUUUCAUUGUUGUUGGGCAAACUGGAAAAAGAAAGCACAAAUUUUUUUUAGUUUGCCAUCAACAACUACAGUCAAUAGACAAAGUUAAGAACAUACCACCGAGGCUCUUUGCUGCAUCUUUUAGACUACCAGCAAAAUAUUGUUGAAGCACUUCUAUACUGAUUGUUUUCUCGGUUUUCCCCCGCUUUCUUUCUGAUUUUUUCACUGUUUUGGCCUCCGGUAAAGGUUCAAGCGUUUGGAACCUCUCAAACCCAUCAGCAACUUCAUUAUUCUUUACAACGUCAGAGUUUAAGCUCAGCUUCUGUUUGGGAGCGUUGAGCUCAAGAUAAUCCUUAGAAAUUGGUGCUUGAUGAUGUAUCCUGAUAGGUUCAAGUUUCGAGUAAACCAUUCCGUCUUCUGAAGCUUCCACAACUUCAAGAGAUAUUUCGUUUUCACAGAGUUCAGUUUCAGAGACAACCUUGAGACUCGAAUAGUGCUGCUUCAUUGUCUGAAACAGAGAACCCAACAGACAAUCUUGCUCACUCUUGUCUGUGAUGGCUGGAGGAAGAAAGAAUUCAAGAACAUACUCAUCGUCCCCCGUAUACGUGCUCUUUAAGCAGACCGCGAAACAACUGGUCAACUUGAACAUGCGUGCAUAAUGUACUAAUGGGUAGUCAGUUUUGCAGAACCUGGUAACAUCCCUACAGAAGCAAAGAUUUCCAGACAGAAACGCUCUCCCAGCAACACCUUGUCCCUUCUGCAGAUGGUGUUCAGCACAAGCGUCUCUGAAACCCCAAACGUGAGCGUCCACAACAUAAACCGCUAAAUCACUAGUAGACAUACAGACUUUCCCCAUACAGCUUCCAUCAAAGCUCGAACAGCUCUUCUUAAAACCACCACCAAAGGCCAGAACACUGCGAUGCCUGCAAGGGACCCAUGUCUGAGCUAAAGGCAAUUUGUAGGUCUCGCACACCACAGUCAGUAUCUCCAAAAUCUCAGCCAAUGCAUUUUGGCGACCCUCAUUGCAGAUCUGGUAUAGGAGAAGUGAAAAGGAAAUGAAGAUCAAAACGACAAGGAAGAGCACUAAAUGAACUCAAGACAGUUCUUGAAAGUUUCUGAAAGAAUACUCGAGAUUUUGACAGUGGACUCGCAGAUAACCUGAGUUGUCUCGUGGUUCAAUAUUUCCGAAGUUUUCAGAUUCACGGCCUGCAACACAGCCGAAAACGUUAAUGUCACUGGAAGAUCAAAGGAUACUGAUAAAGGAGCCAAAAAAAAAAAGAAAGGAGAAACAAAACCAAACCUCAAGCGCUUUACAAACUUUUUCAACCUCAGGUGCAUAAUUAAUCUUCGGAGAAGUCAUAAUAAGCUCGACAACCCCAACACAGAGCUGCCUGGAUGGUUCAAAGACAGGCAAAGCCAAGGUUCCCUGAACAUUAUAGUGCAAGGCGUGACCAAGGCGGGAGAACUCUUUGCUGGAGUAAUACUGCACAUUGGGAGUCCACUCAGGUAACUUUUUCCUGAAAACACGACCAGGAAGCCCGAGGUCUCCGUCCCGUUCACCAUCAAGGGAAAACAUAUACGUGAGGGAAACCAUCCUGUAUUGAUUAAGGCCAUUACUAUUGGGACCAAGAACAAAUGGCUGUCCUGAAGUUGUAAGAACAUAUCGCCCACGGUUUUUUACAGGCGCCCAAACCUGAGCAAGAACGUGUUGCUGUCCCGUUGAUUCCUUGAAGAAUCUAAGCGCUUGAGUCAUCUUGGCUUUGAUAGCGCAGUAAGUAUCUGGAUUCUCCAAGGGCGUUAUACCCCAUAAGGGAGAAGGAACUUGAUUGGUAGUCUCCUUGGUCGUGGUUUCGGAUUCUGAACCUGCAUUGCGUCGAUUCCAUGAAUUUUAAGAUCCAAGCAAUUUCAACUAAAUCUCAAGAUCAAUGCAAUGAAGAAGAUUCCAAGGAGAAUAAUACUGAAUAGGAAGCAUAUCCACAAGUACAUUAUCCGAAUUGGAUUCUAGAAUCCUAAACUUUGCAACGGAUAACACUUACUGGCAAGUAAAAGGGAAUAAUCGGUGAAGCGAGUGGGAGCUCCGUAAAGGUCGCCGCCGACAUCUCCGGCAGCUUCGGAGAAGGACCAGAGAGGAGAGAAAGGCUGCUCGGAAGAAGAGAAAAUGACCGGAGACUUGAAAUUGGAAGAAAACGUGAUCUGAUCUAACGGCCAAGAACCGCUGAGAUCCAAAUCGUCAAGUUCCAUCAAGCAAGCAGGGACGGGAGCACGUGAGAAGACCACAACAAAAAGAAUAAACUCGUCUGUCAGAGUAGUGUGAAUAUCCCCGGGGAGUUUCAAAGCGAAACUGUGAUUCAAGCAAGCUUCAACACAACACAGAGAGAGAAGGAGAAGAAGAAGAAGAAGAAGAAGAAGAAGAAAUAAGAGGAGAAGACAAGUUGUAAAUAUUUUAAUUGAAGACAUUUGAUUCCACGCUGUACCAUUUUACCCCAACCACUAGAAUAUCUUCCCAUUCAUGCAAAUUCUUUAUUUUUAUUUUCGGACAACAACAAAAAAAACAUCGAAUUUAAAUUUUUCAUUUCCCCCAAUUCGAAUUUUUCUUUUUAAAAUGGUAUUUUUAGUAAUUUAUUGAGGAAGUUUCUAAAAUUAAAAUUGAUAUUGUUUGACCAUCUCUCUUAGAAAAUAUUGGCUUUGACAAAUUUCGAUACGAUUUUUUUAUUUUAUGUUUGUUUGAAUUGUACAAUUGUUAAUGACCGAGAAGAUUAUACUAUAUGGUGAAGGUUUUUUUUUUAUGUAUAUCACACAUUUCACAAAACAAUGAAUUGAUUAUGCUUAAGACGAUUCUUACACGUCCAGCACCAAGAAAGUUGUCAUAUGCAUAUUUUAUGCGCCUAAAAAGGCUUUUAAGACGUAAUUAGGCACUAAGUGCUUGUUGUGUGUGAGUAGAAUAACAACGACUCCUUUACUUAAUUCCAUUAUUAUGCUCUUAGCAAACUUCUAAUUAUCAUUAAUAAAUCAAUUAUUGAACCCCCCAAAAAAAAAAAAAAUUCUUGAUAAACGGAAUCUCACUUUCAGAGAUGAAUAAAAAAGCUAGAAACCACUCAGCCACUUUCAACUACUUACCCAAAGUGGAUCAUUACUUAAGCCCUUUCCCCUUUGUUAAUUCAUUCAUAUUUUAUAUUAACAGUAGUAAUGUGUUUUUUUCCUAGUGGGGACGUCUGUCUAAUCACUAGCAUUCUUUCUUCUAAUGAUAUCACUAAUUUGUUAUUUAGCUGUUAAUCAACAAUAGUUUAACACCAAAGAGAAGAAAUUCUUGCAAAGUAAAUCCCCACUUGUAUGCCAAGUUGACAAGUGUGUUUGGCAAUGGACAUUUGUGUGUCCUUUACUGACCUUUUCCUUCUUCCAUAUUUGGACAGUGUAAGGUAGUUAAUCAAAGGAGCUUCCCGGCUACCUACACUACGUUAAAGCAUCUCCAAAACUCGAACCCUUUUAUCCAAAACUAAACCAAAUCCGAGACAAACAACCAAACUGAACUAAACAAUUCAUCGUAAACCAAGCGAAAUUGAUUAUCCCCACCCCCAAUAAAACUCGGAAUCACAUAACGAUAUUUGAAUGCCUAUACCUAGCUUUGAACUCCCCUAAAUUACUGACAUCGUGUUCAAGCAAAGCAUCCAGGAAAGGGGGACAAGGUAACAAAAUGAAAAAUAGUGACACUGAACCUUAGAACGGUGAUAUGGAAGAACAAAUUGAUAUCGCAACAAAGUCUCAUUUGCAAAAUCCAAUUAACCAAAUCACUUCUUUUGAGACAUACUUAGUCGCUCCAUAUCAGUCAAUACACGAUAACAAAGUUUUACGACCUGGAGAUUUCCAAGAACAUAAAUGGAAGAGAAGAGACGAGCAGUGAGAAAAGUUGGAUCUUACACGAUACGCUCCAGCUCUCUGGCGUAGCUUAGAGUCUGGUUGAUGAGUUGCAGAGACGGAAUCUCUUUGCACGGUGCAGUUUCUUUCGCUUUCUGAAAGACAACAAACCCGUCCUUCACUUCCCACUCAGGGUGUUCCUAUAAGAUUUGACAAAGCAUAAAUCGCGUCAAUGGUUCAUGGAACUAAAAAGGAAUCCAACACUUAGCACAAAUUUUUUUUCGUUUACCUCUUUGACAUAGGUUGAGAGUUCUUGAUCAGAAGAGAACAGCAACAUCUGCCGAGCAUCACUGAUAGAGACAUAAUCAUAAGCUUUCUCGCUGCAUCCAGCUAUUUCAUCUCUGAUAAUUCAGUCAUAACAAACAAAAGAUGUGAAAACACACGACAAGACAUGAGACUGAACUAAGCCAGAGAAGGAAGGACUGACUGAUACUACCUUAUGGUCUUUGCCAAGAGAUCCAUGAAAUAGACAUAAGUUGCAUCAGGCGCGGUCUGUCUAGCACUCAACACACGGUUGUAGGCACCUUCCAUGAACGACUGCUCAAGCUCUACUGCAUGCUUGAUGCAAGGAUUCUCCAGUGUAGCUGAUGAAAGUAACUCAAGUUCGGUGUGGAAUUCAGCAAUUCUAUUUUGUACAAGCAGCCUCAGAAGGUUCAGACCAAGGAUAAGAUUCUCCUGUGCAGAUGGGGGAAGACGGUUCCUGGUACAGAGGAAAAGAAGAUAUGUUAGACACAUAAGAAAACAUUGCAUCCAAAUGGAAAAGGAUAGUGUUCAGAAAGUUGGUUCUUUCUUCACCUAGCAUCCACAUAGUAAGGUUUCAACUGGAAGAAAUCUCUCUCAAAAGCAUCUUGGUCCUCGGUUUUUACGCUCAGAACAACAGCAUGCUCAUAAAUGUCCCCUAGAAUUCACCAAUUGUCAAAAAAACUUAAGCAUAUAAUCCAUAAUAAUAUAAAUUUACCAUUUACUCAAUCCACAAAAAUCGCAGCAAUUAAAGGUUAAUGUAUACCCAGUAAACAGUAAUCUAAAAGCUAACGUCGUGCAUAGACAGACAAACUAAAGCACAGUAAAGCCUGAUUGCAAACCCUCGAGUUUUGUGACCCUUAAGAGGUAUAAACUGAAGUUAACUAAAUAAGUCAUGAGGAGAGAAAAAUACAACAUACUCCAUACAAUUGAUGGCAAAGCAAAACUAUAAAUUCCCUAGAAACAAGCCAUCUAAAACCCAGUAAUGAAAACAGAACCUUACUUGCAAUAGUCAACUCCUGAGCUGCGUUUGGUGAAUUCUCGAACAAAGGAGGAAGACUAGUGAAUUUGGUCAGAAGAACCUGAAGAGCAUAACAAAUAAAAACCACCAACAUAAGAAACUAUCACCGGUCAAUUGCAACCCAGACUAACCCAACAUGUUCUACUCACAUUAACGAUCUCUUAAACUAAAAAGCAGCACUUAAGCUAUUCUGCUAAAAGAUUUCCAACUCAUUGAUAAAAAUCGAAGCUAUCAUAGAUUCGAACUCUCACGACAAAACCUAUCAAUUUUCCCAAAAUUCAUUUAUCAAACAUGUAUAUGCAAAGAAGUGAAAUCGAAACAAAUUAGGGUUCAAAGAAGAGCGAGAGAGAUACCUUAAGCUGAGACAACAGAUCACUACAGGUAUUGUAAUCCUUCCUCGCAAACGCCGCCUUGAAUCUCUCGAACUGCUGUGAAACUUCGGUUAGCUGCGGAUCCAUUGCUUGAGCUCUCUCUCUCUCUCUCUCUAUCUUUUUCGCUUCACCGGCGACGAUUCUUUUCUUCUAGAUUUGCUUGCUCCGAAACUGGCUUGAUCGGGAAGAUAAAGACUGAAACAGUAGUAGUAACAUGUCUUUACAAAAUGGGCCUUUAACAGGCCGAAUCCAAUCUAAAAAAGCCCAAAGUGCAUAUUAGCUCUAUGACUAACGUGUACCAACAUCAUCUCUUAUCCAAAUUACCUCGUCGUCUCUUUGCUUUCUCCAAGCCGUUGUGAAUUUACUUGUAAGCUCUCAAUCACACAACAAUGGUGGCGUCUUCGCUAUGUCUAUCAAAUUCCGCAAUUUUCUCUCUACCUAAUGUAUCUUCGCGGCCGCUACUCUCAUUCUCCCACUCUCUGAGGCCAUUCAUCUCCAAGUCGAAGCAUGUUGCCUCGAUACAACAACAACCACAGAAGAGAGAUGGGUCUCAAUUAGUGGUGAAGUCUCAGGCUCUUGAUUUCUCCGGCACUUUCUUUGAAGGUGGAUUCGGGUCGGACGAUGACCCGAUUUCUCCUUCCGGGUCGGGAGUCUCAACUGCCCUUGAGGACAAACCGGAACCUCAGUGCCCGCCUGGACUCAGGCAAUACGAAACAAUGGCGGUCUUGAGACCAGAUAUGUCUGAAGACGAGCGGCUUGGUCUUACCCAGAAAUACGAAGAGGUAAGUAAAAGUCUCCAAAUUUUACAUGUUUUGUGUUUGCGAGAAAACGAGAUUUUGGGAUUCAAUUAGAUACUGAGCUUACUUACAUUUUUCAAAAACCGAAACUUGAAACUUUCUGUAAUAGUAUAGAUAGGUAAGAGAUCACUGAAUGUUGCAUUUUGUGUCGGUGCUUGCACAGAGAGCACAAGCAAAAUCUUCUAGAUAACCGUUUCAAAGUAGAGUUGAGUAUACUGAUCAGUUAGUGGUUUCUUAUCAAUUGAAGUGUAUGUGACAAUCCUUAGUGAAAUCUUAAGUAAAGGUUUUAGCUUUCUAAGAGCAAUCUCAUCCUUCUUCUGUGCGAUAUGGACUCUUAAAGUACUAAACGCUAGAUACUAGAUAUCUGCACGAGAUAGAAGCCCUUAGUGCACUUCUUAGUCAUGUUAUACCUUCACAUUUUUACUCUGUUAAUAUACAGUUUGAUGCUCGAAAUGAACCAAUACACAGUUCUUAUUGGUGGUAUAUAUGUGUGGAUUCCUUAGAUUAUGUCCCUUGUUUAAUCAAAUCAUGGUUACGAAAUGUAUGUUGUGUUUCGAUAGUUACAUAUAUCACACUCUGAAAGAUUUCUUAUAUCAGUGUUUUUUGUGGUGUGUGGCAGUUGCUUGUGGCAGGAGGUGGAAUGUAUGUGGAAGUGUUCAACAGAGGAGUGAUUCCAUUGGCUUACAGCAUCAGGAAGAAGAACAAAGCUGGAGAAACUAACACUUACCUGGAUGGAAUCUACCUUCUGUUCACCUACUUUACCAGACCAGAAUCGAUAACUCCGCUCGAGGCUGUUCUCACUGCGGACGAUGACAUUAUCCGAUCCUCUUCCUUCAAGAUAAAGAAGAGGAAGUACAACUGAAGAGACAAUAAAUAUUGUGUAUGUGUAAGAAAAAAAAGUCAGAUUCUUUCUUCUUCUAUUUUGUUGCUCUGGAGAACAUAAGUAAAUCGCUCUUUAUUUAGUUCUGCUUGUUUUUGUCUUUUUGGAUUUUUUGUGCAUUGCUCUGUUUUUGUUAUGUAACAGAGUGUGAGAAACUCUAAAAGCUAAGUUUGAGAAGCAUCCUUGUAUGCAUUUUCAAAAAGAGAAUAGAAUUAAUCCAUCGGAAUAUAGCAUAAAAUGAAAUGAUAAAUCUCAAAUUAGCUCUGUUCCUUUGCACAAUUUGACAUGAAUGAUUGCGAGUUGGCCACAAAGAAAACAAUUGUGUCUCCUUCAAGAUUUAUUGAUACUGAUGAUGAAGAGUUAGAAGAUUUGGAGUGUGUUCGUGCAGAAGUCACACGGCUUGCCAGCCUUGUGCCCUUGUCACACGGCUUGCCAGCCUUGUGCCCUUGUCACGCUUAAAACAUAAACUAGAAGAGCUUGUUGAACACUUUAUCUUUUACGUAAUGAUCAAAACCAUAGAUAUAUACAAGUGAGAGAGACCUAGGAAGCUAUAUCAUCCUAAGAAAUAAGCAAACGUAUCACAAACAAACAUAUAUAUAUUUUCUUGUGUGUUCAUCAUCAUCUCAAUUCCCUUAAUUAACAAAACAAACGGGACAACGAAUUAGUCCAUUCUCGUUACACUUGACACACCUCUCCCAACCUUCACCUUUCGUGGCAGCAACCGCAGCCACCUUACAGCUACCACCGCACUCAAAGCAAGGCAACCACCUAGCUCCUCCGCAUCCUUCACACGUGUGCCUCCCUUCCUCCCCCACUCUCUCCACACGUGCCCACCUCAACACCCUCCCUAACUUCCCAUUCUCAUUCAUAGCCGUCACCUCCGCUGCUCCUCCCAAGUACCUCCCUUUCACAAACACUCGCGGUGGCGCCACAGUGGCUUCGUCUUGAAGAAGCUCCUUAAGCUCGCUCAAGACUCCGGCGUCUAAAGCAACGUCCCUCUCGUCCACCACCACUCCUUGCUGCUCCAUGAUGGCCCUCACACGCAUGCAAUCUUCAUACGUGCGACGCACUCCUUGUAACGACGUCGUGUAGACCACCAAACCUUCCCCUCCUCCCGGCGGACACUUCUCCGGGAACUCCCUGAGUGGGUCCCAGUUCAUCACCGGUUUCUUGUUGCCUUCUCUCUCCCUCCGUUCUCUGUCUCUCUUGACGAAUAUGUUCUCCUUCACUGACCGAGGCCCCGAGUAAGACGGCUGAGUCGACUCCUCCGUCCGAUCUUCUGACUGAUCGGGUCUUAGCUGGGACAUCGACUCCGUUCUCUUAAGCUUCACCACCGUCGUCGGGAUCUGCGCGGCGAUGCUUCUUUUGGCCCUUGCUUCAAGCUCGUCAAGUGUGUGGAAUGAUGCGCUCUUACGCGGAAGCCGCCGUGGAGGAGUAGCUGGAGGUUUAACGGAAACCACUUCCGGUUGUUUAUCAACGGCGGGUUUAAGUUUGGUUUCUAAAGAUUUGCUAACCUCGUCCCAAGUUUUAGGAGCGUUUUCAUCAUCAUCAUCAUCGUUGAGAGUGGCUGGCACGGUGGUGGCGCGUGGAGGUUUCUCAUCAUCAUCUUGUUCGAAUUUGAGCCACGGCUCUUGGAUGGCGUUGAUAUCAAAAACCGCGAAACUGGAAGGCGGUGGUUUGUAAACGUCGGCGACGACGUUAGCUUUGGCUUGCUUGGACGAUGCACAACCCAUUUUAAUGCCUUGAAACUGUGUGUUAUAGUUUUCUUAAGGAUGCGUGUUUGUGUUUAUAUUAUACCAAGAAGAAAAAUGAUAGGUAGCAAUUUGUGUGGUCUCAGACACUUCUCUUAUCUAUAUAUUUUUUGCUUGCAACUUUUGUAUUCUUCCUAUAAUGAUGAGUUAGUAUAGAAAUGUGGAUUUAUUUGAGUCCAUGAAUAAAUAAAUAAAUGAAACGAGUUUAUAUUACUUAAGACCCUCUGAUCAGGAGCACCACAAAGUGUACUUGUGGUUUCAGUGUGAGAUACGUGGUGAGUCAAUCAGAUAGAUUCUUGACCAUCAACCUUGUAAUAACUAACUACUCGUUCGUAAAUGCAAAUGUCAAAAUCUCUCUCUAGCUAACCAAGAAAGAAAUGCAAAUGUCAUUAUCUUUACUAUACUAUACGAAAAUAAUGCAUUUUCAUAACAAAAAAAAAAUGAAUACUAUAACAUUGGGAAUAGAGACACAUAUAUACUGAAAUUGCCUAGAUUUCAAGGACCUUAUGAGAAGCCUAUCAACACAAAAUUCACACAAAAUUGCACCUUGUAGAUCGUGAAUCUCUCUUUGCCAUGCUUGUAUUUCCUCCAACUUACUUCAUGACAUCAUAUCAAAUAUAUUUUCUUUUUCCUCCCUUAGUGCACCACUUAACUAUUUACUCUUGCUUCAGUAUGGACGAGAUUAUCCAUUUUUUUUUUUUUUUUUUUUGUCAUCAUGGACGAGAUUAUCCAUUUACAAUGUGUACAUACCAUAUAUCUUUUGUAUCAAGAAAGGAAUUGGAAAGGCUUUCAAGAAAAGCAGAAGACGCAAACAAAAAAAUGAAUUAAGGUUUUGGGCCGGUUUCGAACUAUCUUUUUGUUAUCGGGCUUUUGUUUGGAUUCUAAAAGUUACUCUGUUUACAAGACUUAUUUGGGCUUUUAGUAUUACGUUUGGCUUUCUUACGCUACGCUUUUGGACGUUUACAAACAUUAUUAUCGGUAUGGUCGUAUGGAUGAGUAAGAGAGAGCUUUCAUUUUUUUAUUUUUUUUGGUCAUCAAGAGAGAGCUUUCAUUGAAAUAAGUUUUUUUUUUUUUUAAUUUUUUUUGUUUUUUGUUGUAAAGAAUUGAAAUCAAAUUCUAUAAGAAAAGAAUCGUCGCCGGUGAAGAGAAAAAGAGAGCUCAAAGGAUGUAUUCGGCGCAAACGGAAGUUUCACAGGAGUUGGAGAGAUUCAAGGCUUACAAUAGCUGUAAGGAGCUUAAGGUAUGUAUCUCUAAUAUUACGGGAUUGUUGAAUUGUGAGUAGAAGAAGAUAAACGAAGGGUUUAGUUUAGAUUGCAAUUGACUGGUGAGAAUUUUCUGAUGUCGGGGUUUUGUUAUCUGUUAUGUUCUUCAGGUUCUUCCCACCAAAGUCACCAGUCUUCCUCCAUUGUUCGAGAGUUCACCAAACGCAGCUCAGAAGUUGACUUUUGCAAGUAAGCUUCUAGGUUUGUAGUUUUGGCUUUGACAUUAGUUUUGUCUGUCCUCAUGACUUGUGUUAGUUAACUUUGGUUUAUAUAUAUACCUCGAGAUCUCAAGGGUCACAAAACUUGAAAGAGAUUGUGUAUGUCAGGUUUCUCUCUUCUUUAGUUUUGUCUGUCUCUCCCAAAUAUUGUUGGUAGAGGCUAAAUGUUUAACACGGCAGAGAGAUUAGGGUAGAGAAUUGUUUAAAAUUAGAAGAUCCCUAAAUUUCUAUUAACAUAUAUACAUAACUCCUAUAAUUUACAAGCUCUGAAAUCUGCAAAAUUAUCUGGAUCUGUAGCUAAGGUUGAAGCAGUAGCUGUUGAAGAAGAAGGAUCUCAGCAUCCUGAGGAGAAGAGUAAUGAAGGUAUAAUAAAGAAGCAAGUCAACAAACCUUUUGUUUGUAGUACCUGCUCUGGAAUAUGAUAACUUAUGUCUCAUGGUUUAGCAUCUGUCAUGGUGACUGAGAAAACCCUCUCCCAAGAGAUAGCAAAAUACCUACGCUUGUACCACGACUUGAGAAGUCUCAGAUUCGAGCAAAUUGACAUGGACAUGGAGGAUCCUAAAGAAAAAGAGCAAGAGAAGAAGCACGUGGAAGAUGUGCAAAGCUCUGUGGUUAAAUCCGCAAUGGAGAUAAUGAAAGACGCUAAACAAGGAGAGCCACUUGAGGAACUCUUUGGUACGGUGAAGAAAGGGAUUAAAGAAGUCGAGCGACUUAUUUCUUGUCUCAAGGAUGAGAUGGAAACAAGUGCUUAGAAGAAGCUGGACCAAGAUGCAAAAUGCUAUGAUUUCAGCUUCUUAAUAUACUAAAUUAGUUUUUCUUUUUUUUUUUCCUCCUUCCAUUAGUGAUACUUAAAUAUGACUGUCUUAAUAACAAGCCAGAUAUAGAGAAGAAGAAGAGCAACAACAUAACUGAACAAGGAGGAAGAAGAAGACAUACAGUCUUGUGUUUUGCCCAAACCUGCAACUCUCGUUUACAUUGUUGUAGUAGCCGUUUGCGCCUUGUGGUCCCAAAACCUUAACUUACAUACCAAAACCUUAAUAAAAGAACCACUUUACUAUCUCUUCCCACACAUCCAAAACAAUUGCAUCAGCAUGAUAUAGUCUAGUUCCUGAAGAAGCCAUUCCAACACAAAAAUCAGAGUGAAACAGAGCUCCUGUUGAGUGUGUAGAUGUUUAUUUAUAGUUUUUUACGUGAAUACAGUUUCCCGUUUCCAUUACUAAUACAAUUCAUCAAAACUGUUCCUUUUUGUGGAGUUAAAAAUCUUUUUAGUUAGAUUUGGAUUUCUUGUUUAACUAAGGUCCAAAACGGCGUUGAUAAACAUUUUUCUUUCUUUUUUUUUGUAAAAAUGUGAUAUUGAUUCUUCCACCAUUUUAAGUAGCCCAAAUGGCUUCAGUAGGGAGAAUGAACAACUGCAAUCCCAAAAUAAUAACCCAACAACUGACUUUUAAAACAAAUGGUGUUCAAGUUCAAACAAGAACGAGAGCAGUGAUAAUUAGUUCUGAUAAAACUGAAGUAAUGAAACAAGUUAAAUAUAGUGGGAGGAACACGGAUGAUAUAUA